rnacentral:lncRNA from 1 species
CAUAUAACAAAUCACUAUGGGCGCAAUGACACCGAUGGGGAGUGGGCGUUUCUGGGUGGGGGUUGCAGGGAUUGGAUAGAAAGAAGACAAUAAACUUGACUACACCUUGUUUUCCUUAUUUCCAUUAGAGAAGUCAUUUUUCUCAUUGUCAAGGAACUUGUUUGUCAAGCGAACAUUUUGACCAAUUAGGAAAAUUGGAAAUCAAACACGCCUUGUGUCUGAAAAUUUUACUAGAUUACAACCACUAUGUUGUUUGAUCAUAGCAGAGAAGAACUGCUAUUGCAUAUAUAAAAUAAUUUUUUUUUUUUUUUUGUAAAAUAAGCUUAGCAUGUGUAAAGGUUUUCUUAUAUGUUUAUGAACUUAUAUGGCUUCUAUCAUGGCUUAAAACACCAAUUCCCUCUUUGAAGAUAAAAGAAAUUGCAGUUUUCUGCCCUCUAGCUGUAAAACUCUCGAUAGAGUUGCGGAGGAUACAAAUGAUAGAGACCAAAGGUCUUGGCUCUGUGCGAACUUGUUGGUUAUGAUAUUCAUUGGAUGGAUAUCUGAGUUUUAUGUGGACUCAUGAGUUUGUUCAUAAAGUUGCAAUCUAGUGUUGCUUGGACUCUUCAAAAUGUCGAUGGGUGCGUAUAUUGGACUCCAAAAGUAGUGCAUUUUGGAGAAUUUGACAUGGAUGCAGACACAUUUUUGGAGAGUUCGAGCAACAUAGAUUGGAAGCAAGUGAGAGAAGUUGAUUUAUCACAUUUCCAUAUUGUUGGUUCCCUUUGAGUAGAUACUGCUUAGUAAGCAAUAUGUGCCAUAUUGACCUAUUUUCUAGAGCUUUAACUGUUAUUUAUAGUUUUGGGAGAUUGAAUUUCAAACUAUUAUGUUGGCCUUACACUUGCUUUGCUGAUGCAGUACACAGACCUCAAGCGAUUCUUCCUGUCGCCGUUCUUCCACGUAAAUGAAUCUCACCUGGUGUACAAUAUGCUUUCACUUUUGUGGAAGGGUAUUCAACUGGAGACAUCGAUGGGUAGUGCAGAGUUUGCAUCAAUGGUUGCAACCUUAGUUGCUAUGUCCCAAGGUGUUACACUGUUGCUUGCAAAAUCACUUCUGCUGUUCUUUGAUUACGAGAGACCCUACUAUAAUGAAUACUCUGUGGGUUUUUCUGGUGUCCUCUUCGCCAUGAAAGUUAUCGUCAAUUCACAAUCAGAUGAGUAUACCUCUGUACAUGGACUUAUGGUUCCUACUCGUUAUGCUGCCUGGGCAGAGCUUGUUCUCGUACAAAUGUUUGUCCCUGGUGUCUCAUUCCUUGGCCACCUUGGGGGAAUACUAGCUGGCCUUCUGUAUUUGCAAUUAAAAGCGUCAUAUUCAGGUCUGAAUCCAGUUAGACAAUUCAUGAGAGGUUUUAGCCAUGCUCUGAGCUGGCCUUUAAGAUUAGUGAAGAGCUUAUUUCGACAUCGACCUAGAAUUACUGGGAGAGGAACUGCUGGUGCGAGGAUUGCACGAGAUACACUUCAUACGUGGAGAUGUGAUGCAUGUACAUUUGAUAAUUCAGGUAGGCUGAACGUUUGUGAAAUGUGUGGCACAGGUCGUACCGGUGAUGCACCAUCAUCCCCUGGUUCAACAAGUGAGAUACAUGAUCUAUCUUUGGAAGAAUUAAGACGUAGGAGGAUUCAACGAUUUGGUAGAUAAUAAGGCAAAUUGUUAUCAAGUUUAGAUGGAACUGUUUUAGCAUAAUCGCAUUCUUGUGUAUAGUCCAUAUGGGGCCUUGGCACCCAUCAAUGCACGGUGUUCAUCAGACUCGUGUUAUUUUAGACGAUGGAGAUGGAGAUGUUAUUGACUGAAUUUAAUAUUGGUUUAUGUAAGGGAUGGAGAAAAUUGCUGAAAAUCAAACAAUCAUCCAAUAUUUGCCUUAUAUAAGACAGUGAGAUUAUUUAGCUGUAAUGUUCAUAGGUAAUAACCAUAAAUGGAUCCAUGCAAUUAGACAAUAUUUAUGUACCUAAAAGAGCUAGGUAUAUCGAAGUCAUGUGUGUUGGUUUGUUGGUUUUGUUAAAUUGAUACUUCAUUCAAUUCAAAAUAAGUAGCAUUUACUUCAUUCAAUUCAAAAUAAGUAUCGUUUUUCUAUUCAUUUUAUCUCAAAAUAAGCUUUAUCUGUAAUCAAGAAGACAUUAAUGGUCUUCUUUCAAUUUUACUCUAAUUUGAACCAAGUGAGUUCAUCAUAAUUCAUGAACUACUUUCUCUGUUCACUAUUAUAUCUCCAAUAUGAAGUUUGCACCCGCUUAAAAGAAAAAUAUAGAUAUAUAAUUAUUCUUUUAUUUGCAAAUAAACACGUAUCAUACAUGUAUCAUACAUGACAAAUUGCAUGAGAUAUACUUGUGUACAUCAAAUUACAUGAGAUUGGGAAUUGGGGUCUAGUCUUAGAUUUGGUGAAUAAUUUGAAAAUAUAGGCUAGAAGCUGGAGAAAUUUAUAUAUUUUUCGUCUUAAAAUGCCUUUUUUGUUAAAGAGAAUUGGCAGCGCUUCUACAACGAAUCAAGCAGGUUCAGUAGCAACGGAUAACGGCCCUCACCUUAUCGGACUUUGCUUUUUCAGGCUCCAGACUAGAGAAGAGCUAUUCCAUAUCAGCAACUAUGCUAGCUCACGAUCGAGUAGUAAAGACAUAAAGAGAAUUGGCAGCGCUUCUACAACGAAUCAAGCAGGUUCAGUAACGACGGAUAACGAUACUCACCUGAUCGGACUUUGCUUUUUCAGGCUCCAAGCUAAUGAAGGGCUAUUCCAUAUCAACAACUAUGCUAGCUCGCUAUCGAGUAGUAAAGACAAAGGGAAAGGUUGGACAACAUUGUGUGUUCCAGACCUGAUUGAGAAAGAGCGCAUGUAUGUUAUACGUGGAACCGAGUUCGCACUCCCAUGUUUUUAGCUUAACAGUAAGUAAAAGUGAAAUAAGUAGUUAACAUAGAAGUGUUCAAGCUAAAAAGGGUACUUAUUUUGAACUGAAAUGGAGGGAGUAGUUGCAAAGACAAGAGACAUUGAACUCUUUGCCUACCAUUACUCGAUUAAAGACUUUAAAAGCAUGAAGUUCUUUUUAUUUGUUAAGUGUAUUUACCUUGAAUGUGUACUUCACCUAGAAUCCUAGACCUAAAACCUGGUAAAAUCUUCUAAUCUUGUAACAUUAGUUCUUUAACUAUUGCAUUGUGCAUUUCUUAACAGGCAGAACUGCUACUGCUGUCUCAAAUGCGCAAAUAAAAACAUGAAUCACAUUGAUAAAGUAUUAAAGAUGAGCAGAUUAAGUACCAUAAGUGAAAUUCAAGAACUGCGAAAGAAAGCCAGUAGAGGUAAUUAAAAACAACAGAAGAAACUCAGUAUAUUGAGUUUGGAAGAGACGUUCCUUUGGAAACAGGAAAAAGAACCACGGGAAUGGAACUUAGAGCAUUUAUAAAUGUUAGUGAUUUCAUAAUGUGCUGUCUGAAUAAUCUACCACAAUCUUCCCGGAACUUUGUCAUGCCUGUCAAUUGUUGCAGAAUUCGACUCAAAGCUAGCAGCUUUUCCUCAACGUUCUAGAUCCACUUCACUCGCACCAGUCAGAAUAUAAUUCCACCAAUGAUAAUCUCCAUUGAUGAUAACUUUCUUAGCCUAUUAUUAGAGCAAGGUUGCAAUGUAGUCAUUUUUACAACAUAACAGCAGCACAUAGGACACAGAACCUUAAAUCACAAAGAUCUUGUUUCCAUGGAUGCACAACCUAGUAUGGAGCCAAAUGCAGGCUCACACAUUGGUCUAAUCUCCCUCCACCUUAAAGGUAAACUCAGUGGGUUGCACACUCUAACUGUGCUCAACUUCACAAUGUUAAACUUCCCGGUCCCAGAUUCCUCCCAUCGCAGCACUCUUCCUCCCAAAACAUAAAUUUCAUUUCUCAGUGCAACAAAUCCAUAAUCAAAGACCUCUAGAGGCCGGGGAUGGUCAGGUAGAACCACAGGAGGUACCAGUCCUCUACGAUGCCACUCCGUGUUAUCAACAUCCCUAGUUUCAAUGGCGCUCCCACCCCAAUCUACAACUGUGCAUAUAUGACCACCAUCAAGUACCUGAAUUCCCAAAUGCAUGGCCCUUGAAAACGGCCAAGUAUCAUUUACACUUAGCCAUGUUUCAUCGGAUGGAUCAAAAACAACAGAUGUCUCCUGCUCUAACAGCCCAACAAGGUCCGUUAAAACAUAAAAUUUACCAUUGUAUGGUAGGCCUAUGCAAUCCAUUUGGGGACUUGGCAGAGGUGGUAGGUCUUCCCACCUGCAACAUUUUAAAAUAUUAAGAAAAACAGUAUAGGAUAAAACAUAAACAUUCUUCUCUUAAAAUUCUGUCAAAUUAAAUAUCCGACCAUCCUUUUGCUUCAAAGAGAAAAACAGAGUAGAAGUUAGAAGCAACAAGGAAUCGUUUCCAAGAUAAAAUAACAAGGUACAUAGGUUUCUAAAGAACUACGACCCAACGGCAAAUGUAGUCAAAGCAUCAAAAUUUAUUUCCACUAGAUAUACGUUCCACUGAUACACAUUUUGAGUCCAUGUUUUCAUCACCCUUAUACUUGCAUUAACCUUUUCUUCUUAUUUUACUUUUAAAUUGGGAAGUGUUUUUCAUUUCAUAAAUAUAGUAUAUGUCGCAUAUGCCUCUUAAAAGCUUUUCUUAUAAAGUUUUUUGCUGCUUCAAAGAUUAAUGGAAGUACUGUUUUCUCUCAAAAAUAGUAUGCACAUUUCAAUUUACAUGACUACUUUUGAGAGAUUUAAGACCGAUUUUUGGAACUUGUGUUCUUUAACAUGCCAUGAGGUUUCCACGGCUACAAGAUGAUGUCAUUAAAGAAUAAAGAUAAUUUGAGAAGUUAAAAGUUAAAUUUUUUCCAACUUUAGAAAGACGGGCUGCACCCUAAAGUUGUCCGGAAAAGUCACUAACACACUUGUACUUUACGGGUGACCUACACACACCCACCCACACCCAAUCCUUAUUUGAAGUGGUGUUAUUUUCGCCGUAAAACAUACAAAGCCUGUCCCAUGGUACAGGGUGAUUCACAUGCACCUGCCAAAUCAGCAUUUUGGGUGGUAAUAAUUACAUUUUAAACAAGUAUAGAAGGGUAAAAGAUCACCCGUAAAGUAUGAGUGUGUGAGUGACUUUUUAGAACAAGUUUAGGGUGCAACUUGAUGUCUUUUCCCUUCUUUUUUUUUUGAUAGAUUAAUAAGGAAAUAGUGUUACAUAAAAUGAAACAUAUGUACUUGCUAAUAAAUAUGAAAUUGGAAUGCAGAUUAAGGAAAAAAAUUCUACCAUAUAUAAACUAUGACCUUGUAGGGUGUGGAGGUUGCACAUUAGGGAAGAAGGUUAGUAGGUGUGGAGUGUUGUCUUGAUUUUUGAGGGGUUUAGCUGUUUUCUUGUAGUUGUUCUGUUUUUGAUUACAUCAUCAUAUGUUUAUUCCGUUCAGCUUAUCGCAUUAUUUUGUGUUGCUCUUGUUUCCUUUAGCUGUUUUGUUUCUUCACUGUCGUCUUCCUUUUCAUUAUUCUAAUAUGUUAUACUCGGGUCGAGGGUCCUCCCGAAAUAGUCUCCUAACCUCCAAGAGGUAGGGGUAUAAUCUGUCCUCCCACCUAUGGGAUUCCACUGGAUAUGUUAUUGUUGAUGUUGAUCUUGAAAAGUUGCAAAAUUAAAUUUCCAUGAACAAAACUAUAAGUUACAUAGAUACUCCCAUAGAAAAUAAUUUGACAAGGAAAUGUAAUGGAACAAUGUAGAUUCAUUUUGACUGGAAAAAUUAAUUCUCAAAAUUGGCAACUAACCAGGAAGUUGAAACAAAUCUAGAAAUCCUAAUAUGUAAAAUUGUUUAGUGAACUACACGAAGGUGAUAAUUAAAAGCAAUUGGUUCCAACUUCCAUCACAUCAUUUCCAAGAAGGGAGUAAAAACAAUGAUUCCCACCUUAUUAACGGGUGUGAGUAAGAAAUUGAUCCAUCAAAUUGGCACCCCAAACGGGUGGAGGUCGCGGAUUAGGGGUGUGUAUCGAUUGAUUCAGCUCGAUUUUAAGUAUGAUCGGUUCGGUUUAUCGAUUUUUAAAUAUGUUAAACCAAAAAGCGAACCAAUAAGAUAUUUGUUAUCAGCUUUCGAUUUUAACUGAUAAGAAAAUACUUUCAAAACAAAUAUAUGAUUUGUCCAAUAAUUUUACGCACACAGGCAUACAUCGAAACAAGCAAAUCAGACUAAAUUGCAACAAUAAAGACUAAAGUAAUACUACAACCUAAAAGGUAAAUUCAGAGGCCAGAGUUGAGUAAUGUUAAUUGUGUAAGGUCCAUAUAUAUUAAUUAUAUUAAUAUUGUUGUUUUUUGUUUGAUAUCUAUGUAUGACUAAAAAUUAAAAUAGUAAUUUAUUAUAUUCUAAAUGGGUUAUCGGUUAACCCAAUAUUAGAAACCAAUAUCGAACCGUGUUUGUUGCAUUAUUAGUCUUAUAUAUUUCCUUUUCAAUUACUGAAUCAUUUCAUUGUUGUUACUCUUUCUUUUCAUUGAAUGCCAUGUGUUGCUUUCCUUAUUAAUUGGCAUGUUUUCUUCACUGUCACAUUCUUUUUCAUAAAUACUUUAAUCUGUUGCACUUGAGCCGAGAGUCUUUCGGAAACAACCUCUAUACCUCCACGAGGCAGAAAUAAAAUUUGCGUAUACUCUACCCUCCCAGACCCCAUUUGGGGGAUGACAUUGAGUAUGUUGUAGUAUUGUCAAAUGCGCGCUUAAGCCCGAAGUGAGGCUCAAAACAUGUUGAACGCUUUGCCUCACUUGAAGUACAUUUUAGUUUCGUCAUCAAUGUUCUAAGACAUACUUCUCUUUGCCAAUGAACCUCUUGUGAAAAGGAGACACUAAGCAAUUGAUAUUUCAUUUUAUCGUAUUUUUUUUUCAGUUUCUUUGUUCUUAUAUUUGUCAUUCACGCUUAUACUUAUUAGUCUAGGACUAAACAUAUAUAAUUGUAUUUGUUUCUCCCGUAACAAACUUUAGAGAUUUUUUUCUUUUGAUAACACUUGAUUGCUAUUGUUGUAUAGGCACCCUAAAGCGGUGUUACAAAGGGUAGAUACUAGUCCAUGAGGCAUAAAAUUCAAAUAAGUCGUCGUAGGCAAGAGACUACAUGGAUAGGGAAAAUGCCUAACAACACGACACAAGAGGGAUUAAAUAGAAACUAAAAUCAUUGUGAAACCAAGACAUAAGGAUAAAGUUGCAAAGUAAAGAGAUUCGACUAUUGCCAGGUAAGGGUAUUUUGUACGAACCAAUUUGGAUGGAGGACACAAUUUUACUAUUGCUACAUAUAGAUAAGAAAACUUAAACUAAAUGCUAGGAUGAUAUCAAUAACUUUGUCCAAUAGGGCCCAAAUGACCAAUAAAUCUUUAUAGGAGGAUAGUUGAAUAGUGAUGGUUCAUGUAAUAAUUGUUUUGAUCUAGUGCAUGGUUGGGGAUUUCCAUUAUUUGUUUUAAGGAAUGAAGAAGGAAACAACAGUGUUGAGAUAAGUGGGUGCUCCACCUUUUUAAGCGGUGACGUGAUGCGAAGGACAUGCGCUUCAAUGGCAUGAAGCUAGAGAGGAGCAGACGUGGGAACUUCAACCCCAAAAGUGCGGCGCGAGCAGAUACUCUCUCUAUUCUCCUUUUUUAUGUUUGAACUCCCUGGGCUCCAUUCCAAGUUUGUUGAGCCCAUCUUCUGAUGUCAUUACGAGUUGGAGCGUCUUCAGCUCUUGCAAAGCUCCCCACUAAGCAUCUGUCCAGCAUGCCUUUUUCCUAUGUCUCUCUUAGUCCAUUUGUUCUUGAAAAACAUUUCUUUGUAACUCUUCCCCCCUCUGAUUUGGUUAAGGAGUCUAGGUUGCUUGUUUGUGAUUAAUUUUGUACUACUACUUCCAUCAAUGAAAUUUUCUAUUUUGCUAUUAGAACAUUCCACCCCUCAUUGAAUGUGUUAACUGACAGGAUAAUUGCUGCUCUGACAUUUCCUUUAACAGUAAUUACUGAGACAAAUCUUCCAUAUUGAUUGAACUUUUGUGUUAAGAAAAUGUUGGUUGUGUUAUCUUUGCAUUUCCAAGACUUGAAGGUCUUUCCUUUGUUCUCCGAUGCCUCCUUGAGCCUUUUGCAUAUCCAAGACAUGGCUCCCUUGCUGAGUAUCAGUUUGCUCAUGUAGUAUCAUGCACUUCUGAUCCAAUCAUACCAAAUCCCUGAUUUGGAUUUAGAUUCUGUGAUUCAUAAGAUUUGGCCCCAAGGCGAAAGAGGAUUUUGUUGUCCAUGAAAAAAGUUGGGUUCUAGAUGGCUGCUCCGAUGGAGGAAGUCUACCAGAGAGGGGAGAGGCUGGGUCCAGAAGAGACCCUUCAAUUAAGGGUCAUUGCAAAUAUGCCUGGAAGCAUUUGUGGAGUGCUUGUAUUAAGAUCCUUGUGUGUUACUCUGAGUCUCUUUCCAUUGCUCUUACCCGGGGCUUGGCUCUAUCAUAAUGUCCUUCAUCACCCCAAUGUAUGCCAUUGAUACACCUCCAGCCUUAAGGCAUCUCCAUAGGACCUCCCCGACUUUAUCAUAUACAUUUUCUAGGUCAAUGAAUAUCAUAUAUAAGUCCCUUUUUCUCUCCAUUUACUCUCCCCCAGUCUCCUCACAACAUGAAUGCUUUCUAUAGUCGAUCAUCCAAUAUGAAUCCGAACCGGUUCUCAAAAAAAGACACACCCCUCCUCAUCUUCAUCUCCAUCACCCUUUCCAAGACUUUCAUAGUGUGGCUAAGCAGCUUAAUACCCCAUGAAUAUCAACUUGUAGUUAUGAAUCUCACCCUUGUUUCAGUACAACAGGAUCAUUGUACUCCACCCCCACUUUUCAAGCAUUUUGUAGUCUUAAAAUGAUAUGAACAGCCCCCCAUCAGCCAUUCCAAACCUUCUUGUCUUACCUGUGUUCUUCAAGAACUCCACCGGAAUCUCGUUUCCCCAAUCAUUCUUCCCAUGUUCAUCCUAGGAAUAGCUUAACCUCAUUAAUCUUUAUACACCCACAGUACCCAAAAUCACAACAUCUCUCAUAUUGCUCCCAUUACCUGGCACAAUCUCCCUGUCCCCUUCUCAUUCAACAGAACAAAGCUACCAUGAAAGUCAACUGUUUACUUGGUUAGUUGCUAGAAGGGCCUGUCUUACACAUGAAAACCUUCAAAAAGGGGAGUCAACGUUCAUAAUAGGUGUGUUCUAUGUCAUAAGCAUUAUGAAGAUGUGAAUCACCUUAUUCUUCCCAGACGAUUCACGUCUCAAAUCUGGAGCUUCUUAUUUAGUAUUUUGGGGGGCAAGGAAAACUUAGAAUAUACAUGGUGGAUUAUAUGGGAAGAAAGGAAUGAACCUAAUGGUAGAAUUUUCGAGAGCAAAUCGGAAUCUGUAAUUAGUAUUAAAUAAAAAUAUACAUCUUUUACUUUAUUAUUGGUGCAACAUAGCUAUUGCAAACAACACUGAUGCCAUCGUUGACUCUUUGGGGUCACUACACUUUUCGUAUGGCAACACCUUUGCAAUUACUUCACAAGACGAACUUGUCGCUGAUUCUAAUAUGUACUACCUUAAACAAUUAAAAAAAUGAUAUAUGUUGAUAUGAAAAACUAAAAACACGCAGAAACAAGAGAAUAAGAAGAUAAAUAGUCUGGUUCAGAAAUCAUUGUUAGUAUGCUUGCAAUUCCAUUUUGAGAUCUAAGAUUCAUUGCUUGAAGACACAGUACUCAGCUCAAGAAUAAAAGGAUCGUAUUUUAACAGCUCUGUCAACACUCAACACAAACAGGUAUUUACUUAGAAGCAGCACACAUCUAGAUAAACAUUCACAUGGCAUUCCCAUACUUCGUAUAUUCUGCUAUAUUUCAUAUCCAAGUCCCUAAGAUAAAUUUAACAAUCUCGACAACAAUUGGAUAACUUGUGAUCCAAAUAAUAGCAUGAUAAACUACUUAUAUACCCCAAUCUAAGAUCAGUUUUGUAUCCAAAAAGCCAUAUUUCCUUUUAUACUUAAAAUUCAUAAAGUAAUGCUUGCUCAAAAAAAUAUACCAUAAUUUUCUAAAAACAUACUUGUCUGUCAGUGGAUUAUAAACUUCAGCAAGAACAAGUCCUCCUCCCGAUGAUGUGUUGCGCCCUCCAGCUACAUAAACCUUACCAGAGACAACACUGCAGGCAAAGUUAGAACGUGCUGUUCUCAUACUUGCAACAUUUCUCCACUCUUUUCUGAAAGGAUCAAAUUGGAAAACUUCAUUUGUCGUCAGGGCUGUUUGAUGGGGAAUUACUUGAUCACGUGCUCCAUAUGUGCCGCCAAUCAGAAGAAAUUUAUUCAAGACACAGGCACAUGAGAAACCAAGGUGCUCUUGGUCAGGGUGGCUCGUGGGUAUCCUAGGCAGAGGGUGCCACCUAUCAGCUUCAGGAUCAUAAGCAACCCAUUGAUUCUCAGAUCCUCCAGUCAGAACAAAUAACCAGUUACCAGACCAACCUUCUCUAGCUUUAUAAUUGGAAUAUUCUGCACUAUGGAAUAGCUUCCUCCAUCGCCUACUUACUGUUUCAAGAAUGCCAUGAUAUCCGUGUGAUAUCAUUGCUAGACAUCUCAAUGCCAAAUCAUCUGGUAGUCCAGGUAUUAGUGGUUGAUCAAUCGUCUCCCUGCAGAAAAUUACUUUGUAAAUGACUUAACAGUAUGAAAUACAGGUGGAUGAAAAAGAAUGCAGAUGCAGAGUUCAGGAUUUGGAAUGUCACAACAAGAGAUGUAUGGAAGUUUUUAGUAUAUGUAGUUCAUUAGCACUUGGCCCCGUGUAAGUACAAGAAAUUUAACAGGGGAAGGAAUGAUUUUUGGGCUUAAGAACCCAUAACAAGGGGCACAAUGGAAGAAAUAGCACGGCAAUAAAGUACUGCAUUCCAAAGUACUACAGACAGCAAUUUCUCCUCAACUGAAAUAAUGGAAGAAGAGAAAAGGAAGUGACUGAAUAAUACACACAAAAAAGUAGAAGAAAAGAACGGAUAAGAAUAGAAAGAUGGGUUAUAGCAAAAAGGAGCUCCAGGAUUUGAGCUACUUCGAGCCAACAAUUUGUCUUAAACAAGCAAUUGCUGAUUUUGACAAUAUCCCAGCUUUGCUUUCUUUUCUAUGACCUCUACUGUUCCCCAAAAACAUAUGUUUUGAGCAAACCCUAGUUCAUGUACCUCAAUGUCAUCAAGGGGAUUAAAACAGAUACCAGAUUUCCCUUCAAGAGAGAAUCCAAAACAUAAAACUCAGAUAAUAAAGCACCUAGUUUUCAUGAUCAUGCACCAAGACCAGGGGUGAGUGUAUGCACUAAAAUUGGGGCAAGUGCACCCAUGGUCUCUCCUAAACUAGGUAUUUUAUGUAUAUAUUUCUAGAAUUGGUAAAUAAUUAUACACCCAUCCUACACGAAGGAAAAAUGGCGAUCGUGGUUAAAUGUUGAGUUAUUUACAUAAAAAACUAGCAAUCAAUUCCCACUUCAAACUAUUUUCUUUUGUUGUUUUAGUUGUGCAUCAAUGUUGAUACAAAUCCUAAAUUCCUCUCUGACCAAGACAACACCACAAACAUAAAAUGACAAUCCAUCAAUAAAAUGAAUUAUAGAUAUCUCGUUUUUUGACCCAAUUGGUGUAAACCCAUUCUAACAAUCUUCGCAAGACUACCCUUUAUUGUAAUGGAAAUAAUCAAAGCCAAAAAUCAAACACAAAGUGAUGAAAUGGAGACUUGCUUACAUUAAUAAGGUCACUCUCUAAGAGCUUGAAAAUUCCAGAUACAGGGAAUCGGUCAUGAAAUUCAGCUAGUCCAAAGGAUUGUUGAAGUGAUGCUGCAUCCGAGUAAAACUUCUGGCGACUCCAAGAGAACGACGGCCGAUUUUCUUGUGGAAAUUAUAGAAAGUGAAAGAGGGCUUAACAAUUUGAUUGGGUUUAUCCAGACUAUUCUGAGAACAUUUUUACGACAACUUUAAACAAAAUGAGAAGGAAAGGCUUAAUACACGAAGUAGUACCUCAACUUGUACCAUUUUUGCAAAGCCGGCUCAAUAACUUCUAGUAAUUCUCAAAUGAAUACAUAUAUUUGAUGAAACUAUAACUUAGUAACCCCUGUAAUUUCACUUUCAAUAUAGUGUUUAGUGUCGACCUAAAAUAAUAUAAGACACUAUUUAUUGUAAGAAAUUGGUAUUUUGAAAUUAUAACUUUUGAAUUAAUUUAUUUGAUUUCUCAAGUGGAAUAAGAUAACACUAAGGGGUCGUUUGGUUAACAACAAGUUAUGCCAGGAUAUUAUUUGAGAAAAGAUAUAAAGUCAUCAUUAAAGUUGUUUUGGAUUUUCAUAAGGACACCUUAACUUUGCAAUUGUCCUAUUAACCCACUAAACAAUUUUGAACAGAUGUUAUCAUAUCAUUUUUCGAUCAGCCCCAAAUUUUAACAAGCAAGUGAGUUCACACCCCAAUCAUUACAUGACACGUGUUAAUUAAAAUUACAAAUUUUUUUAAUUUAAAAUUUCUCCUUUAUCUUUUUCUUUCUUUCUUUUUCUCUCUCUUACUUUUAAAUCUCAAUUUUGAUUUAUCUUAAAUUUCAUUAAAUCUUUCACCCCCUACUUUCAUCCCUUCAUUUUCUUUUUUUUUCUUCACCUCCCAACCCCCCAUGUCAAAUUGAAAUUCAUUUUCAUUUUUUUCUUUUCCUUUUUGUUCUUCUUCUCGAGUCAAAUUCUUUAUAAAAUUCAUACUAUUAUUUAGACUUAACUGAAUAGUUGAUAACAAAAUUAAUUAUUUUAAAAAAAAAAAUUAAAUUUUUGAAGGUAUCAUCAACUACUCAUUUUCAUAUACAUUCAAAAUUAGAAAUGAUUUUCUCAAAAAUUGAAAGAACUUAAUUGAAAUUGAAUAAAAAAACUACAUUAAUAAUUUCUAAUCAUCUUCAAAUCUAAAUAGUUUAUCGAAUUGUUCAAAAUGUAAGAAACUGUUUAGAUAAAAUUUUAAAACUAAAUAGAGUAAAACUAAUAGUGAUAAAAAAAAAAAGGUGAAGUUGUGGUAAAAAUGACACUGAAAAUAAUAAGUUUCAAUGGAUGGAAAUGAAAAUCAAUUUUGAAAAAAAAAAGAAGAAAGAAAGAGAAAAAUAUAAAGGAAAAAAAAGUUAAAAUAAUAAGAAAAAUAAGAAAAUAUAUUUUAUAACAAAAUACUUGUAAAAAUAAAAUUAUAUUAGUUAUUUUAGGGUGCUCACUCUCUUUGAGAGAGUGCACACCACUCUCUUGUUUGAUGAACGAAAAAUAAUGCAAUUAUAUAUAUUCAAAAUUAUUUAGUGGGGUAAUAGGACUAUUGUAAAGUUAAAAUGUCUUUUUAAAAUUUCGGGACAACAUCAAUGAUGACUUUAUGUCUUUUCUCAUAUUAUUUUGAGAUAACUUAUUUCAUCACUAUGAUAUAAAUGGUGGUAUAAGUUAUAUCAAACAUGACAACCAAAUAAGACACCAAAAAUUUAUCCUACGACUAUUUUUAUCCCAAAACUAUUUAUUUUUAUCUCUCACACCAAACGACUCUAAAGGAAAUAGGAAAUUAAAAAACUUUAAGUUUGUUAUAAAUGUAUAUUUUGUUUGUUUGAAGGUAUUAAUUUUACUUAAAAAUUAUUUAUACUUUUGUAGGCACAUAAAAUUUGUUGGAUAAAUUCAUGUAUAAAAUUUAUUUUUAAUCCAUGUUUAUUUGAAUUGAACAAUUAAUUUGAAUUGCAUAAUUAAAUAAAUCUAUCACCAUCAAAUACAAGUGAAAAAUUUGUUUUAUCUUAAGGCCUAAAUAUUAACCAAAUAUCGAGUGGCAUGAUAUUUUAAUCAAAUUCAAAACCAACGAGAUCAAUCAAAUUCAAAACCAACGAGACUAUAAGGUAAGUUUGAUGUCCCAUGUUAAUUUACGGCAUAAUAAUUCUUUCAUCUUUUGUACCAAAGAGAAAUUGAUGGUGCAAAAGUUUCAAAUAUGUGAAAGAGUAGGGGUGAAAGUGCACUUUGUUUCACCAAUGAGAGAACAUUGAGUUUUGAGUAUAUAUAAACUAGAGAAGCUGAACAACCACUGCUCCGCCGUCGAGCCAGACGUUGAUGGCAUUCUAUUACCGAACUCGUCGUGCUCUUCCAAUUUUCCGGUGGCGGCGUCACCUUUCUUCGUCUUCUUCUUCCAAAGUUGCUCUUCUUUGGGAAUCUAAGUCCACCGACUCACAAAAAGCAGUCACUGUCCAACUGUAUUCCUGGGGACGUGGUGCUUCCGGUCAAUUGGGUGGCGGUAUUGAAGAAAUUAGAAUAUACCCAUCUCCUGUUGCUUCAUUUUCUUUGUCUCCCACUUUCCGGUUAUCCUCCCCCAUUCCUGGUCGUCUUCCUUCUGCUCCUGUGCUGCUGUCGUCUUCAUUCAAUGAGGGGAAGGUGGACGUUGAAAUAGGAAUUUCUUGUGGGCUUUUCCAUUCAGCUUUAUUGGUUGAUGGGAAUCUGUGGAUUUGGGGAAAAGGUGAUGGGGGUCGUCUUGGGUUUGGCCAUGAGAACCCAGUUUUUGUUCCUACGUUGAAUACUCAUUUGGACUCGGUUCGAAGUGUUGCUCUUGGUGGGCUUCAUUCCGUAGCUCUGAACUCUCUUGGGCAGGUCUUCACUUGGUCAGUACCAAUUCCAACCUUGUACUGUGCAUUUUUUGCCUUUCCUUGUGAUAGAAAUAAAGAAAGUGAAAAAUUAAUGUAUUACUUAUUUGCUCAUUGUUGUUUUUACGUGGAGAAUUGAAAGGUCUUAAUGCUUAUUGUUAACAAGAUUUCAUUGACAGUAACUUUUUUUAUGGUCUCACUUUCGCUCAGCAAUAGGAUGAAAUGUAGAGGUCCUAAAGGUUGAAAAGAUUUGGGUCUUGACCAAAAGAAUAUCUGUCUAGUCUUAUUAGUGCCUUCACUUGGUUUUGCUUGAUAACUAGAAAGGAAUGGAGAAAAAGGUUGAAGUAAUUUUGAUGCUGAUCCGAAGAUUUUUCAUUUCUAGUCUCUUAUUUUGGCUACAGCCCCUUGUUGCUUGUUAUUUAGAACUGUAAAUUUAAUAUGAAUGGUCACAUACAAUGCCGCGGAAGAGGGUGUAAACUUGCUUUAUCACUGUUCUUUUGUGUAAAUAGCUGUUGUAAGGAGAAAGGAGUGAGAUUUUCAUUGCAUAUUUGUAUAGUCUUGAUAGUGUGUCCUUUAUGUAGUUUCUAAGGUAAAUAGUAUUUAUGUGGACGUAUUAGAGAUCGAAUGAUCUCUCUGAUGAACCAGCAUAUAUUUAUCCUGUCCAUAAUCUCUUAUUUUUACUUACCUCUCAGUAGGAGCUCCCACCUUUUUGCUCCCUUGUUGACUCAAACCACAACUUUAGGGUUGCAGGUGGAAGUUACUUAUCAUCUGAGCAACCCCUUCUAGUUAGUUUACUAUCUCUUUGUCAUGACAACUGUCGCUUAUAUUGUUAUUGUGAACUUAAGAUGAAUGAAGACACAGAAUGGUUGCACAAGGUAAAGAUGUGAAUUAUGUAUUUAAGCACUUCUGAUAAUUUGUUUCGACCUGUAGUCGGAAGACAUACCUUUAGAUAUGUGUAAUUGUGAAUUGAAGAAAAAGAAGAAAGAUUUAUGAACGCAUAUCUGUUUCCCAUUUUUUUUGUUGUUUUGACCUGGAGCAUGGAAAAUGCCUAAUGCGAUAAUGCCUAUGGUUAGCAAGGUUUUCAUGUAUAGUAAUCUCUUUGUAGCAUGACCCGCAUGUAGUUUUGCUAAAAAAUAUGGAGGUACUAAAGUUUGAAGUAGUAUGGGGGCUGAAUAAAAAAUCCAAUUUUGUCUAUAUGGCAUGGCCUUCACUUAGUUUUACUUUGCCAAUAAAUAGGGAUGUAUAGAAAAGUUGGAGGUAUUUAUAUGCUGAAUGAAAAAAUCCAUGUUUAGUCUCAAUUUUUGGCAACAAUCUUAUUAUCAUAUUUGUGAAUCUAAGAUGCUUGAACACAUAUAAUGCUGCGCAAGCGAAACUGUGAACUUUUUUUUCACAGUUCCAUUGUGUAUAUAGACAUCAUCACCCCUUUUCAGCAUGGCACUAUACUCGCCCUUUCUGCUAGGUCUAGCGAAAUAGGCUUUAGGAUGAAUCAACAUUGAACUCAUGCAUUUUCCAUUGAAGAGUUUGACAUAGAAGUAUUCUAAUUCCUUUAGUGAAAGAGAGAUAAAAUUUAAUUGUUGAUGGUGAAUAGUUUGACAUGUUUUUGGAUUUUUUUUACCUCCUUAGCUUUAGCUUAGGCUACUUGUACUAGUGCUGAUAUGUUUUUUUUGCCCUUCUGUACUAGAGCUAACUGGUCAUACCUUUUGUAACUUGGCAUAUUCCUGAUGCCCAUUCAAUGAUAAUCUUUAAUCUUAUCACAGGAAUAGUUUGAAUGACUUGGUGAAAUCAUAAUCAGCAGUUUUGUUCAUUGUAACUUGAUUCUUUUAUGGAAAAAAUGAAGUUUUCAGGGGUUACGGUGGCUUUGGCGCUCUUGGUCAUAAAGUUUAUCACAGAGAGCUGGUCCCUAGAUUAGUGGAGGGUUCUUGGGAUGCAGAAAUAUGCCAUGUAGCAACCAGUGGGACACAUACAGCUGCUAUAACAAAAUCAGGUAGGAUAUUCAAACACUAUCACGUUUCACACUUCACCAGCUAGAGAAAAUGUGGGUAUGUGCUUUUCUUUAUGAUCGAUAGCUACAAUUUUUGGAUUGUUUGAUUUAAGUAUUCAACUUCUAUGUAGCUGAUUCAUCAUUAGUAGUUAUAAUUGGAUUACUCAUUUGACAAUAAAAUCACUUCUUUCAUUUUGAACUCGAUCUUACUUUAUCAAUCCGGAGUUAUCUGGAUGGUAGUUAUUGCUUUUCCUAGGUAGAAAAAUCUUGAAUUGGCAAACAGUUCUUCUAGAUGAAGCUUUGUACUAGACCUUUCAAAAGAAGCAUGCCCAAGAAAUGUGAUGGUAGUAAAUUGGAAUAUUCAUCAUCCAUCCAUCAUAGGGUAAUACCACUAUCCCAUUUUAUUAGACAUGCUUUCCUUUUUAGUCUGUCCCAAAAAGAAUGACAUCAUAUUUAGAAACAAUUUAACUUUAAACUUCCCAGUUUACCAUUAAUAUAAGAUAAUUUAUAGUCGCACAAAUGUGUAUGACUUGUUUUAGACCGUAAGUUUCAAAAGUCUUUCAUUCAUAAACUUCUGCCUAGUCAAACACGGUCACAUGAAAUGGGAUGGAGAGAGUAUAGUUUUUCUAGUAAUCUUGAAAUUGGCUAACCAACAAUAUUCAAAUAUGUAACUACACAUCUCAGCUAUACCACCUCUACCAUUGAUUUAAAGCCCCGGGACAUCACCAAGUAAAAUAGCUUGCAGUCAACUUCCUUGAAAGGGCUUCUGAGAAUGAAAAGAUGCAGAAAAUAUAGCCACAAUGGUCGGCCGAAUCUCUCUCUCUCUCUUUAUAUAUAUGUAUAUAUAUAUAUAUAGAGAGAGAGAGAGAGAGAUUUUGAGAACUAGUACUAUUGUAUUUCUCAGCAUUAAGGAAUGUUAGCCACCUCCAAAAAAUUACUAGGUAGUAAGGUUAGACUCUAAAUCUUUAUAGAGCACCUAAAAAUCUACACCAAAAAGUCUACCAGCUCAUCUAUUUCCUCUAUAUAGUUCCCUUUACACCAAAAAAUAGGCACACUAAGCAUUUCCAUUUCACAUCAUGAAUGGACUUGAUUUGUCUUCAAAACAUCUCUCAUUUCUCUCUUCCCACUGUCCCACCAUAUACAUGAGGGUAUUAUCCCCGAUCAUUUUUUCUGGCUCUUGCUGUCCCCUCUUCUCAUCUAGCAACUCAUUAAAUCAGCAGUAUGAUCAGGCAUUGUUGGACAUCAUCCAUUCAGUCUUUGUGAGACUAAAGAAUAGCUGUGGACUUGCAAUGCAAAAAAAGAUGGUUGUUUGUCUCCCCAGUUUCAUUGUACAGAAAGCAUCUAGUCACCACCACUCUUCCUUUUUCUUGUUGCACUUCAUGAGUAAGACAAACUCUCUUCACUACUAGCCAAGUGAAGCAUUUGAUCUUGAUGGAGCCAUGCUUUUCCAGAUAUUCUUCCAGAUCUUUGGACACUCACCUUGCAUCAUACUGUUUUCCCUCUUACAAAAUCUGUUCACAGCGAAUACACCAUCCAUUGUGUGUCUACAUCUCAAUGCAUCAGGUUGCAGAAUAGAGCCAGGGAAAGUGUCCAGUAUAUUCAAUAGACUUGUCACGCUUUCUACUUUCCAGUAGUGGUAGGCAUUCGGUAGUUUGGUUCGGUUUCCAUGUUUUUGGUUUUCGGUUAUUGAAUUUGUUGUACUGAACACCGAAUCUAAAUAAUUCUGUUAAGUUCGGUUUUGGUUUAUUAAAUUUGGUGUUUUCUGUUAUGGGCCUGCUUAAUGGGUUUUUUAGAUUUUAGAUUUUAGAUUUUGUGAUUUUUUUUGGUUUGAUGUUUCACUAAUGGGCUAAAAGUAACGCUAUCAUAGCUUAAAAUAUUACAAUAUAAACUGGUAAGUGGUCCUGAAGUGUUAAAGCUAUUAUUAAAUAUUAACUGAGGACUUUUUUGGUGCUUUAGUUCUGUGUUACUAAAGCAUGUAUUCACGCAACUAAACAUUUACUGUACCUUAAAGUUCAAUAAAUAUGGAAAGUUUAUCUCUGUUGUCUCAGUAAAUGGCCAAGCCGGAACAAUGAUUAUUUUACCUGAAAACUCAUUCAAUGAAGGAUGGGGGACUUGUCUUAAAGAUGGACAAAUUCAUAAAUCAAAAGGCAGGAGUACAAGUCUCUAUUACUGAGCAAUGAGGUCCCACUUCCAUGGGACUAAGGGGAAAGGAUAGUUACAAAGAAAUAAUACAAAGAAGCAAAUGGAGUGCUGGAGAAUAGAGCUUGACUCCGAUGGCUUUCUUUGAAGGAGAAAAAGGACCACUGAGUAGGUGUUUGGUGGGAAGAUUUCCAAGGGUGCGUCAAGAUAACCACCAAAAGUGUGGUUAGGAGCUGGGCGGAAAAGGCAUGGAUGGGCAUCCACAGUUUGCAGAUUUAUGACAUGGAUGGAACUCAGUUCCUAUUUGAGUUUCAAUCGAGACGAGAUGCAAAGCACAUACUCAUGGGAGAGUGGGGUUGGAAAAAUCACCUUCUACUUCUAGAAUGGUGGACACCAAUGGCAGGAGCUUUUCUGGCAAAUCUUAACUUCGAGUGGUUCUGAGUGCGUACACUAGGUCUACCACUGCAGUUUGGAAUGAUAAAGUGAUGAAACAAAUUGGAGAUCUUUAUGGGGGAUGAUUGGAAACAGUGGAAGUGACUCAACUAAAAAACCAUCUAUAAUGAGCUCGAAUUUGAGUACGGGGAUCGAGAGAGAAGAUUCCUUUUGUAGUGGAGAUUAACGAUGGUGACCUCAUAUUUACACUGGCUCUGGCCAGAUACCGAAGAAAGGAAAGGGAUGAGCCCAAUAAUUGAGGCAACAAUACAAGGAGUGAGAAAGGAAAGGCUAUAGAAAACCCUAAUCUACAGUUGAUAGAUUCAGAUGACAAAAUUGGGAAGUCUUUUUCAAAAGAUUGUCCAGUGGUCCUUAGCAAGGACCCUGACACUUUUACUAGUGGUAGCCACAUGACCCUUGAAGGAAAUGUGUCAACACUUAUGCAUGGAGUGGACCCAGACAGUCACAACAAUUUUAUAGGGAAGAAAUUUUGUGGGAAUUGUUGUGGGCUAUUAAAGCCCAAACCUCUGAUAGCACAAAUUUCCUUAAAGGGAAAGUGUUGAUCCUAUGUUAAAAUUCCUCAAAUAAGUGUACACUCCUUUUUCUCCAAAUUCUCUUAAUAACACAGAGCUAGAGUCUGUUAUGAGAAUGAAGAUCAAGAAAAUACAUGGAAGCCAGAAUUCAAGCGGAGAAAUUAACAUGCAGAGCGAAGGAAGAAGAGAGGAAAAUGACCUAACCCUCUCCAUGGAAGAUGCACAUGAAAACUUGACUGGAGAAGAACAAAGUCAAUUGUUAGCAGGACAUCUUAGCGUAUAUGAGGAGCCGGUGCCAAUUUAGAUGGCAGAACCUCUUUUGGAACAGGAGAACGAGGACAAGGCUACUAUCUGGGUGCAAACCAAUGUUCUAAAAUUCAGUAGGAUGUUUGGCGCAACCUUUGAAGGAUGUGCUAAAAUAGCUUUUGACCUUUUUAUGAAGAUAGAUAAAAAAAGAGGCCUAUUAGAUCAAAAGAAUGAGGCGAACAAUAAAUAAACCAAACAGAGUUCUAUUCUUAAAAGAACUUAGGAACCUUGAAUUCCAUGUGAAUUUUAAGGAUGGGGAACCUACUCAUAUCUUGGAAUGUGAGGGGGUUGAAUGGGUGGGGGAUUAAAGGAGCUUGGUUAGAGGUUUAACUAAGCAAUGGGGAGCUGAUGUUUAUGUCUUUCUUGAGAGAAAAUUGAUGGGAGGGCAUGCUACUUUAUUAAAAUAAGUUUGGCAUAACAUGUGGUUGGGAGAACUUCAUUUAGAUGAGUUGGGAAGAAAGGGGGGGGGAUUGCGGUGAUGUGGAUAAGAGGUACAUCUGGUAGGGGUAGGAGGGCAAAUGCUUGCUUGUAAGUUGAUAGGCAUAGAAAAAAAAUCUUUCUUGGUUUCUAAGUGUUAUGUAUGCUGACUGUAACAUAGAGAUCAGAAGGGAAUUGUGGGAGGAGCUAACAAUAAUUAGACAUUCUUGUGAUGGGCCAUGGGUUGUGUGCAGUGAUUUCAACGUCACUAGGUAUCCUAAUGAGAGAACUGUCAAUAACAAUCUAUCUAGGACAAUGACAGAGUUCAUUGAUUGGAUUAAUGAGAUGGAAUUAAUUGAUCCUCCUUUAUUUGGAGGAUCUUUUACUUGGAGAAGGGGGAAAACCAUACAACAGCGUCAAGAAUAGACAGAUUCCUAUAUUCUAGUUGAUGGGAGGAAGUGUUUCCACAAAUCAGACAGUGUUCUUCCUAGAGUAGGUUCAGAACACAACGCCUUGCUUUUGAAUUGUGGAGAAUGGACUCCAAGGAAAACAAAUUUCAAGUUUGAACAAUGAUGGAUGAGAGUGGAGGGUUUCAAGGAGAAAGUCACAGAAUGGUGGACAUCCUUUUCAGUCACUGGUACAACCUCCUAUAUGUUGGCCACAAAGAUGAAGAUGUUGAAAGGGAAACUAAAGGAAUGGGGAUUUGAAAACAGAGGUAAUUAGAAGCACAGAAAGGAACAUCCAUCGAGGAACGUAAACCACUAAAACGAGUUUGCAGAAGUUUCCAGGAAUGAGGAAGUAGCAUGGAGACAAAGGUCAAGGGUACAAUGGUUGAAACAAGGGGAUAAGAACACCAAAUACUUCCACAGAGUUGCCACAACCCACCGGAGAUAAAACACAAAUGAAAAACUAGAAGUGGAAAGGGUAACUAUCACUGAACCGGAAGAGAUCAAGCAGAUGAUUGUAAGCUUUUAUCAAAAGCUUUAUAAGGAACCAAAGCAAUGGAGACCAACAUUCAACUUGCAGGGAUAUGAAGGAGUGAUUGAAGAAGAGAAGGUUUGGUUACAGGGACAGUUUGAGGAAGAGGAAGUUCUAGAAGCACUCAAGUUGUGUGCUAGUGACAAGGCCCUAGGCCCUGAUGGUUUCCCUACGAGAUUCUACCAGAGCUUCUAAGGAAAUUAUUAAGUUAGAUAUCAUGAAGAAAAUGCAACAGUUCCAUGAUCAACAUGUUUUUGAAAAGAGUUUGAAUACAACCUAUAUAGCUCUAAUCCCCAAGAAAGUGGGAGCUCUUGAAUUAAGAGACUUCAAUUAAGAGACAGCAGACCUAUUAGUUUGAUAAGUGGAAUUUACAAAAUAAUUGCCAAGCUUUUAGCUGAAAGACUAAAAAGGUGAUAAGCAAGCUAGUCAAUAAACAUCAAAUGGCCUUCAACAGAUCAUUGACGCAACUUUGAUAGCAAGUGACUGUUGACUCAAGAAUUACAGGGGAAGAUCCUGACAUCAUGUGUAAUUUGGACAUAGAGAAUACCAGAAAUUCCUGCUCAAAAUUCUAGAGCAGAUGAGUUUUGGGGAAAGAUGGUUGAUGUAGAUUGCCUUUAGUAUAAAAACCGUCAGGCAUGGAGGGUUUUCACAACAUGAUGAGAGUGUCUAAAAUCAUUGGAUAAGGGGAUUCACGAUUGACAAUCUUUUAGGGGAGGAGAUGCACAUAUAUCAUCUACUUUAUGCAAAUGACACAAUCAUUUUCUGUGAAACAAAGGCAAGUCAGAUUUCAUUCAUAAGGAUGACCUUGGUGAUUUUCGAGGCAGUUUCUGGGCUAACAAUAAACUGGAGGAAGAGCUGCAUAUUUCUAUUAAGGAGGUUCCUCAAAUACAAAGUUUGGCAACUAUUUUGGGGUGCAGAGUGGAGCAGCUUCCAAUGACCUAUUUAGGCAUGCUGCUGGGACACAAUCACAAUGAGUUAGAAAUAUAGGAUGGCAUCAUUGAGAAGACUAAAAAGAAAUUAGCUAACUGGAAAACCCAAUACAUCUCAUUAGAAGGGAGAGUUACUUUUAUAAACUCUUUCUCACUGCUUACUUAUGUAAUGUCACUGUUUGGAGGAAAGGCUUGACAAGCUAAGAAGAGAAUUUUUGUGGUUGGGAAACAAAGAAUGAAAGGGCCGACAUUUAGUUAAAUGGCAGGUUGUACAACUUCACAAGCAGUCAGGUGGACUUGGAAUCAGAAAUCUGAGAAUUCAAAAUGCAUGUCUUCUCUCAAAGUGGCUAUGGAGGUUUACCAGGGAAACACAUGCUUUGUGGAAAGAGAUGAUAGUAAACAAAUACGGUAUGGAUAAGAAAUGGUGCUCCAACUUAGUCAACUACACCUAUGGAGUUUCAGUAUAGGAAUUUGUGACACUACCUAAUUAGAAAUGUAGACUAUAAAGUGCGAUCUGGAACCACGACGUCAUUCUGGAAGGAGAAUUGGAUUGGAAAUGAGUCACUGAUGGUCUUGUUUCUAGACCUUCUCCUCCUGAGUACUAAUCCGGAAGAGACAGUGGCUGAUGUUUGGUCCCAACAGGGAUGGAACAUUGUGUUUAGAAGAUUCCUUAAUGAUUGGGAGAUUGGGAGUCGCUUUGUCAUUACAAAUAUUGGAUGGGUUUACGUGGACAACAAUGGAGGAAGACUCUAUUAGAUGGAGACAUAGGAGCGAUGGGGUGCUAUCAGUUAACAGAUUAUAUAUCAAGGAAGUGAAAGAGUUGAAAGGUGGUAAGAUUGGUCCAUGGAACCAGAUUGAAAACCAAGGUACCUGUCACAUCCCAAUCUUGGAUUGUAACUGGCGUCGUCGAAUUCUCGGAGUUCUUAGACAAGCCUCUUUCAUAUCAUUCAUUGCAUAUACAUAGGGAAAAGUAGUGCGGAAUUAAAACUUUUCACAAAACAUAAUAUAGUCUUCAAAAUCUCUUUCAUAUAAAAGUAAUAGGAAAUACUAAGUCUCAAUCUUAUCAUCUCAAGACACAAGAAUACUUGGGACACGAUCCAUACUUCAAAAUACGAAUAUAGAAAUACUUAGUCUAUUACAAUACUUUGAAUGAAAACAUAAAGGACACAUAUAUGCCCUCGAGUCAAGUGAUCAAGAUCUUCUAAGUCUAAGUCUCCACUUCUCAAAGCUCCUUACCUACCAAGAACUAUAUAGAUAGAUAAACGCAUGGAGUUAGUACAAACACAUGAACUAAGUAUGGCUUUAUGCAUAAAAAUCAUGAAAAUGGACUUUAAUCAUAAUAACAUCAUUAAUCAAUUUAGAAACACAUAAGAUAAUUCUAGCAUGUAAUUUCCUCACUUAAGUCAUCCUAAGAUUCACUUAAGUCACACAAAGAGAGACUGCCCAUACACCCUCUCUAGAUGUGCCUAAACAACCCUUAAGAUUACCUAUAAUGAGUCACAUACAUACUUACAAAACAAACAUAAACAUCAAGGUAAAUUCUUCUACCAAAGGUGAACUCUAAGUCUCACUUGAGUGAGUUAUGAAGCGACCGCCCAUACAAUCCCUUACACACACUUAAGAGAUCCGAUAGACUCUCUAAGAUAGAAUCAUGCUCACAUAAAUCACCAACACAUAGAUGAUAUGACAUUCUCUUCCCAAAGGCUAUCAAAAGACCUACUUAAGUAAAUCAAGAAGAUAACGUCCAUAGUGACCUCUUCAAGAUUACCUAAAUAAUCCUUAAGACCACCUAAGGCUUAGAUCAUGUCCACAAAAUUAACAAACUUCCCUAACUAGAGUCAUACUCAAGACUUCCAAAGAUAAGACAUGAAGAGAUCAUCUCUUAUGCCAUAUUCACACUUUAGCUAAGGAAUCCUUAAGUCACUUUAGAUUAGGUACUCAUUUAUUUACAUACAUACUCCUUAACAUAAGUCAGUAGUUCAUUAAGACUCAUACAUCACAUAAAGUACAUUCAAAUAAUGGUCUUGGACAAGACCUAGGAACUCCACAUAACACCUUCAAAGUCUAUUUUGCAAACCACCACCUAAACUUCAUAAACUCCUCAAAUGCUAAUAGGUAUUCCAUAUGAUGAGAAUAGGCAAUAACCGACAUAGACCAUGGUAGCAAGACACGAAAUCAGGAGUUUUAUCCUACUCCGAUGAGGUUGUUCUACUUGCAAAUGGUAGAACUUGGACACAUCCAAUGUAGUUACAUUGUUAAGGAAUAUGAAGGGCAUACCUUGUAUUCUAGUCUCAUACUUAACUAGAACUACUUUCCCUUACCAUACUCAUUCGGUGCUAGCCUUCGUUCUCAUAGAUCAAUUCUCAUUAAGGUUCAUAUAAAAGGGUCCCAUAUCUAGUUCAUGACCCAAUUACAUUCAACCAACCAAAGCAAGGUCCACUAGGGCAUAUCUCACUAUGGUGACAAGAAGCUCAUCACGACUUUCCUAAGGUAUGAUAUGAUGCCGUUCCGACCAAUUAACCUUAAGUCCGUCACUCCUUUAUUUUGAAGGAUACCAUUACGGCUUACACUUCAACAAUCUUAACCUUUCCCUUAAGUCAAGGUUCCACAUAAAUGACCUCGUAUCAUCAUGCAAGGUCUCACCUAUAUUCAUUUAUUCAAGACUAAGACCCUUUAGGUUCCUAAGUCAAGACAUCACAUAUUCACAUAAGCAUCAAGUAAGGGACCCAAGUCUACCUAAACAAGACCAACAUACUUCCAUCUAACACAAAUUGCCUAUCUUCCUUUAGACUCUUAGGAAUGACCCUUAACCUUAUUUAGUCAUCCUAUUCAUUACCUUAACAUUAUUAACCUAACCAUUUUAGACUCAUCCAACCAACUUAGGAUCAACCAUGUAUCAACUCUAAGACUACACACUUAACACAUAGCCAUAACAUAACAUUAUUAACUAAAUAGUAUCGAUAGUCUAACACAUACUUUCACAUAUAGGUAGAUAUGAUCACACAUCAUCAAAUCAACUGUACAAAUAGCCAUAUAAGUUCAAGUAGUUGCCAAUAGGGCCAUGCUUAUAAUAUUGCAUAAAGUAACGUUGACAAGGCCACAUCAAUUGCAAGUAAAACACAUAACACCACCACCAUAUGUGGACCAUACCAAUCACAAUAGAAUUGAAGUAUACUUAAUAUCAAAUUAAAGAAAUCCGGGCAGCAUACCUUCAUUCCCUUAUUCACACUUCAAUUCUAUGCUAAAUCAUCCAAUUCAACAUCACAAGGCCCUUACCCAAGGCCAUAACCAACAAUUCAAGCAAUAAUAAUAAAAUCCAAUGAAAGCUCUAUCAAGUCAAUCUAGGUUUAACAAUCUAGGAUCAAUUAGAUAACAAUUGAAUAAAGCCCAUUAGAAACUACAUAACAAUUCAUGAAUAUUAGCUUAAUAUCAAGUAACCCACAUUAUAGUCAAAAACUAGGAUUCAUCCAAAUUCAUGGGUUCAUAGGUAAUUUAUGUUAAAAUCAUCAAUACAAUAUCAAUUAGAUCAUAAUUCGAUGUUUAGAAUUCAUUUAUGCAAGAACCCAUGGUAGAAUCAUGAAAUUGGACAAUUCACUUUAGCAAACUUUGAAUUACAUCUUGAGAGUUGGGCUCCUUGAUGAAACGAGUUUCAAGGAUCAAAAGCCAUACCUCAAGGAUGAUAAUUCUUCACUUGAUGAAGAAUUUCGACACAAAAACCCCUCACCAAGAUGCCUUUUCAAUUGGGUCUUCAAUGGAGGUUUUGGGAUAUUUUGUAAGUGUUUUGGGUUUUCAAUUUGGAAGAAUGAAGUCUUUAAGGUGUUUACCCUUUAUAUACUUAAUUAAAAUACCCAAAUAAUCCUUAAAUAACUGUCCAUGACUUAAUUUAGAAGCGGAGUGAAUUUACAAUUCACCUUUUGACUUGGCAGCAGCCUGCGCAGGAAGGCAGUUGCGUGCGACACCUGCCCUUGACGGGGCGUUACAACCACGACGGGGCGUCACAGCCCUCCGUCGUUGGCUACAAUGGCCGGCCAAGCUUCUUUUCCCUCUCAUGGUUAAGUCCCCAUCGACGACACCCUUUGACGGGGCGUCAACAGGCCUACGAGCCGUCGAUUGCUUCGUCGUUUGGGGUCUGCUUGGGACUGCCAUGCCAACAGUUUUGGGUCCUUCCUCAAGGACUCUUAGAUGGUCCUUGGGGAUAAUUUCCCGGACAUUUCCAACCCAAAUAUGAUCGUUUAUAAGUUUAACACCUCUCACAUGAAUUUCAUCCAAAACGAACACGUAAAACUCGCCUAGACAUACAAGGUCGACUCAAGGCAUAUCUUUCGAACGCCUUGGACGUUCUUGGUCGUUUGACCUCCAAACUUUACGAAACUUUAAUCACUGCCUAUACAUGCUAUAUUAACUCUAUUAAGAACCUGAAAACACUUGAAACACACAUAAACACAUAGAACCACAUUUUAGACAUUUAGGUGACUUAGUCGUUAAACGUCUUAGUCGUCCCUUGACAUUUGACUUCCAACACCCCUAAUACUUUAGCUACUAUCUAUAUACCAUAUUUUAGACUCAUUUAGGACUUUAGACCAUCAAUACCAACAUGUUAGGCUCUAGUUAACCUAAGUCAUUUUCGGGGUCUUACAGUGCCAACCAAGGUGAAGUGUUUCUCCUGGUUGGUUGUAAGGAAACGUUACUCCACUCAUGAAAGAUUAAAUAAGAGAGGGUUUCACAUUGCUUUUGGUGCUCUCUAUAUAAUAAAGCUGAGGAAACUAAUAGACAUAUUCCUACAUUGCAAAAUGAUAACAUUAUUGUGGCACUUUUUUUGGGCCUAACACAAAUAGAGUGGACCAUGCCGGACAAUUGUUGGAUGAGAAAGUUGGGGGGGGGGAGGUAAACUCAGAAAAAAUGGUGGAGUAUGAUUCCGUCAUGCAUAUGGUGGUCCAUAUGGAUGGAGAGAAACAAUAGGUGCUUUGAAAACAAGGCUAAUAUAUGACAACCUCUUAUGUAAAGAAGAAGGAAUAGAUCAAAAUGCACAAAUUAUAAAUUUUAUAGGAAAUAUGUAAUCUAGUAGUUGUUUUGUCGUAGAUUGAAAAUUGAUGUAAAUCUUAUAGAGGUCUUCGGCAUGUCCUUAAUGCUGAUGAAUACAACCUUAGCCUUAUAAAAAAACAACAUUAAUAUUUUGACAAUAACAAAACUCCAAGUGCAAUGGCCAAAUCACACCAAAUUUUCCACCAACAAUAACAAUACAACAAUGAACGGCAAUGUAGUUUCUUCCCUGAGACCAGUGCCAAGUGCCAACAAUAACAAAACUUUAGUACUUUACGCGCUUCUUUAUUGUCUUGACCACUUGAAGUUGAUUCUUUAAGAUAUAUAAUCAAAUAAAUAACGUGUUGAACUUGACACUACUAAAUACAUGAAAAUUGCAAUCAAAGAUCAACAAUGCAAGAGUUUUUUUCACUAUUUGUCAUCUCUAAAAAUAAUAAAUCAAAUGUGUCAUGCAACACAAUAAGUAUUUUAUUUUUUGCGAAAAAACCAAAAAAUACGAAGUCAUAUCAAGUUCAAUUUUCUCAAGAAACUCCAAAUUUUUUUCAACACAAAUAGGAUUUGUCUCUUGACUACGCCAAUCUUAGACAAAAAUAAGACAUUGCCCACAUUUGCGAGUCAAUGAACUUCUAAAUGGAUCAAGAAUGCAACCACAGAUACUAAAUAUGCAUUCCGAUGCCACACUCGACAUAGGAAUAACGAAUACAUCUCGAGUCAACUAUCGAAGUAUAGGUAACCUAGGAGAAUUAACUUUCCACCAAAUUAAGAUAUCAAAAUUUUCUGAUUCAGGCUCUUGGUCUUUAGCAAGGUAUCUUUCCAACUAAGAAUCUUCCUUUUGUUUCUUCAUGUAAAACUUAGUUAUCAAAUUUUGAGAAAGACCACAAGUAGAUGAAUCAUAUGAAAAUGAUUGAUUCUUAGAACUUUUUGAAUACUUACUUGCGUAGACCGCAAAUAAUUUCUUCAAGUAAGUUUGUGGUUCCUUAUUUACUAUCUUUUACUAUUCUUCCCAAGUAAUUCUUCAAGAGCGAAACUAAUGUACACAAACUUAUACGAGAAUCCAACACGGAAACAAUAAGUCUUAACUUUUCUUCUAUUCCCACAAUCAUUUUACGCAAAUCAACAUUAUCACUUGUCAUACACCCUUUCAAAUAUGCAUAAAGCCUCACAUAUAUCCUCAUGUUGAACAUUACAAGUAACAUAUCGCGAACUUGAAACUUUCAAUGUGAGCUCUUAAAAAUUUUCACGAAACUUUGUUGCAUUCUUACAUUAACCCUAUCAUCAUUUUGAAUUGAACCUGCAAUACUUUAAUCUUCACAAACAUUAGUAGCAAGAUAAAGGAAUAACGUUACCAUCAUAAAGAUCUAACCUCUCAAAAGGCCUUCUCAAAUUUUUUUCUGUGGUGUCCAAUAUCAAAUAGGUGGGAUUCCACCUAGUAGGCACAUCUAAAGAUAACAUUUUAUCACAUUCUAUCUUUUGCAUUUCCAGAAGUUUCUUUGUCCUUCGUAAAAGAUGUUCUAAUAUAUUUCUUCAUUUGCCUUACCCAUUUGAUAGAAAGACCAAUUUCCUCCAAAUCAUCUUGUACAAUUAGUUUAAGUAUGUGAGUUAUACAUCUUACAUGGAGAUGCUUACCUUUCACCAUAUCAGUUUCCCACAUAUCUAACUCUAAAUUGCGAUAUUAUUUGAAGAAGCAUUAUCAACCGUAACAGGUGAAGACAUUGUCCAAGUUUUAAUCAAGUAAACAAUUACUAAUAUACUGCAGCGAUAGGGACCAAAAUUCAAUAUUUUUUUUAUGAAGCAUUUAAUCCUUAUCGAUAAAGUGAGCAGUCAAACACAUACUUUAUUGAUAGUGAUUGGGUGCUUAGAGUCUAUAGUAAUUGCUUACUUGGUUGAAACUUGGAUAAUGUCUUCACUGUUAUUGUUGAUAAUGCUUCUACAAAAUGUCGCAAUUAUAGAAUUGUCUAAAGAGUUAGAUAUGUGAGAACUAAUAUGGUGAAUGGUAAGCAUCUCCACGUGAGAUGUAUGACUCACAUACAUAAUCUAAUUGUUCAAGAUAGUUUGAAAGAAAUUGGUCCUUCUGUCAAACUAGUAAGACAAAUGGUGAAAUAUGUUGGAUCAUCUUCUACAAGGAUAAAAAUACUUCUUGAAAUGCAAAAGAUAAAAUGUUAUUUUUAGAUGUCCAACUAGGUGAAUCCCACUUAUUUGAUAUUGGACACGACAAAAAAGUUUGAGAAGGCCUUUGAGAGGUUUAUUCUUUAUGCAAUUUUAUUUCUUAUCUUGCUACUGAUGUUUGUGGAGAUGGAAGUUUUGCAGGUUCAAUCCAAAAUGAUGAUUGGGUUGAUGUGAGGAAUGUCACAGAGUUUCUUGAAAAAUUUUAUGAGCUUACAUUGGAAGUUUCAGGUUCACUGUUUGUUACUUGUAAUGUUCAUUUUCAGGAUAUGUGUGAGCUUGAUGAAUAUUUGAAAGCGUGUAUGACAAGUGAUGAUGUUGAUUUGCGUAAUGUGACUGUGGGAUGAAAAAAAGUUCAAGACUUAUUGGGGAACUCCUGAAAAGAUAAACAAAAUGCUUUUUAUUGCUUUUGUAAUGGAUCCUUGUAUUAAGUUUGUGUACGUUAGUUUUGCUCUUGAAGAAUUAUUUGGGGCAAGUAGUAAAUAAAGGAACUUACUUAAAGGAAUUGUUUGCGGUCUAUGUAAGUAAGCAUUAGAAAGGUUUUUUUUUAAAGAAUCAAUCAUGUUUAUCUAAUUCAUCUACUUGUGGUUUGUCUCAAAAUUUGAGAACUAAGUUUUACAUGAAGAAUCUAAAAGUGUAGGCACUAUAUAUGAGUUGGAAAGAUACCUAGUUGAAGAGCCUAAAUUUGAGAAUUUUGAUAUCUUAAUUUGGUGGAAAGUUCUAAUUUCCUUUACUUUAUCGUUGACUCGAAAUGUAUUGCAUAUUCUUAUGUUGAAUGUGUAUUUAGCACGGGUGGUCGUAUUCUUGAUUCAUUUAGAAGUUUAUGGACUCCCAAAUGUGUGUAAUGUCUCUUAUUUGUGUCCAAAAUUGGCUUAUACUAAUCCUAUUUGUGUUGAACGAAUUUGGAGUUUCUUGAGAAAAUUCAACUUGGUAAGUCUUUAUAUUUUUUGUUUGUUUUCGCAAAAAAUAAGAUACUUAGUUUUGUCUGACAUAUUUGAUUUUAUUAUUUUUAGAGAUGACAACUAGUGAAAGAAACUCGAUCUAUGUUGGUAAUUUUCAAGUAUUUAGUAAUGGUGAGUUCAAUAAGAUAUUUAUUUGAUUAUUCCUUUUUUUCUAAUCUUAAAAGUAGUAUUCUAACUUUGGGUUUUAUCUUAAAAGUUCAAGUUGUCAAGAUAUGAAGAAGGUUGUAAAGUACUAUAGUUUUUCUUUAUUGUUGGCACUUGGAGUGGUCUUAUGGAAGAAACUAAAUUCUUGAAUCUUGAUGGAAAUUUUGGUGUGAUUUGGCCAUUACUGAGUUUUGUUAUUGUCAAAAUAUUAAUGUUUUGUAGUUGAUAUGUGGUGAAUAAUUGUGAGUCCAUUGUUACUUGUUAGUGUAAUGAGUGGAGAACUCAUGGAUGCACAUAUGGUGAAUUAUUGUUACUUGUUAGAUUGUCAUUGUUGUGUAAUGACAUGGUCAUUUGUGUUUGUUAAAUUGUUAGUGCCAUUUUGGCUUUCAUUUUCUUUUACUUAAGAGAAAGAAAUGUCCCAAGUCCAGACUACUAGGGAUGUUCGGUACAACAUAUUCAAAAAUUGAAAUGAACUAUCGAAUGGGAAAAAUAUUAUUGAAUUAUUGUGUGUCUACAUUAUACAUAGAAACCCUAUUUAUAGACACUAUAAUACAAUCCUUUAGCAAGUCAGAAACUAUAUAUUAUUCCUAUUACUAUUCAUAUUCUAAGUGGGAUUGUGUAUAACCAUUCCUACUCUAAAAACACUUUCCAAUUAUAGAAAUGUGUCAUUUUUUUUUUCUGAAAUAGACUAAAAAGGAAAGUUUGUCACAUAAAUCGGUAUAGGGGGAGUAUUACGAGUGCAAGAUUUAAUGCAUAAAUAACUUAGCUCCUAACCAACUACCAACUGACCCCUAAAAGUUUAUAUAAUGUUAGUUAAAUGGUUUUUUGUCUACUAUCAAGUUAUUCAAAGAACAUUUACGGGUAAGCCUUUACCUUAGAAUAAGAAAUUUGUAUCUUAACAAAUAAAAUAUACUACUUCCCACUUUCUAAAAAAAGGGGAAUAUACUACUUGCCCAGUUUUGAAUGAUGUGAUUAUCUCAUUAGAAAACAUAAAUAGUACCCCUAGUUUACUUUAUUUUUCCCUUUGUGUGUAAGUUACUAGGAAAGAGGGUGUAAAAGAUUCAAGUUCUGAGUUAAGUAAUGAGUGGCGGAUUACCCCUAGGUUAUCCACAAUUUUUGAUGAAUAGUAUGGGCUGAUCCAUAUUUGACCCACUUUUGAAAUGAUCGGAUAUCCAACCCAUACAAAAUGGUUGGGUCGGGUGAAGUGGAUGGCCAUAAAUUUCCACCAUUUUGACACCCUUACAUCUUAUACUUUUUUGAUGCAAAGUAACCAAUGGUAUUUCUAGUUUUGAUAAUUCAUGCUUUUGAGUGUCUCACCUAAUGCAUGCCUAGGUUGUUGAAUCCAUUGCUUUACGGGUAGAAAUAAAGUUUUCUUUAAAAGGCGUUUUUCAUGAUAUGAAUGUAGAGGAUGGGUGGUUCUUCACUACACUUUGUUCCAUUUGUAUGAUACUGUCACUAUUUGAACAAUAAUUCUUUUUCCUUUGAUUAUAAUUUUAAAACUUUUCUUAUUAAUGCGUAAAAUUGAAAUCAAUUUGCUUUAUGUAGUUUACUAAAUGAAAAUGUAAGUUUUACUUUAAAAUUUUGAAGAAAAUAUCCGGAUUCACACAAAAAAUUUGAUGCUUUUAGUUUGUACUUCGAUUAUCGCCAUUCGACAACCCAUUAUGUAAAGGAAGUCAGAGGUUUUGUGCUUGAAGCAUUUCCCUCCCUCUUUUGUGUGGUGGUGCAUAUAUGGGAGGUGCACUAGAAACUGGCUUGAAGCUCUCUUCUUACUAACAAACUGAUAGUUGAUAGCUGUUGGCCAUGUCUACUAUCAAAACCGCUCCAAUGUAAAAUAAUAGCGUUAAACACGGGAAUGUGUGUCUACAGCUUAUUGAGGAGUUUGUUGUGAAGUACUUACUGUUCUAAUUAUUUCCUGUCUUUUACUCUAUAAAAUUUGGAUGUGAAGUACAAAUUAGUGCUGAUUCUUUUCCUUUAACUUCGAGUUUAUAUUUUUACGUGAUGUCAAUAGGUGAACUUUAUACUUGGGGCCGAGAUGAAGGGGAUGGUCGCUUGGGCCUUGGACCAGGUCGAGGCCACAAUGAAGCAGGUGGUCUUAGCAUCCCUUUAAAAGUAAAAUCACUUCCUACAGGUGUAGCUGCUGUUUCAUGUGGUGGGUUUUUCACAAUGGCACUUUCAGAAGAGGGAGAGCUCUGGAAUUGGGGAGGUAAGAUUCUAUCGCCUUUUGAUGCUUUUGCCUUAUGAUCAUGUCAAUUUUUUGAAAGGAAGGGUGGUUUGUUCCAGUUGACACCAUUAUUUGUGUUUGAUCCUUAUCAAAAAAAUUAAAAAGAAGGUCGCAUGCUUUUCUUUUGUCAUACAUGAGUGCUGAAAGGUAAUCAUGACUUCAAGUGGAGACAAAAUAUCGCUUGGAUGUUGUCUUGAUUUCUUUAUUGCAAAUUAAGUGGUCUAGAUAGUCUUAAUCCAAAUGCCUUGUUGUGGAACAUAAUCCCUAGUAUUACACUUAACCGUUCCUUCUGUAUUAGUCGAACAUUGAUGUCUCAAACGUCAAGCUAACCCAGAAAUUUCACUUCCCAAGCUGAUGCAAUUCUGUUCAUGAAUUAGUCAUCUGAAUAACAAAUUGCAUGGAUCUGUUCCUUUCUUUUCCUCAAAUGGUAGAUUGCAAAAGGGUCAACUAAUGUUGCAUGGACAGUGUUUGUCUUUUGUGAGACACACACACAAUUUUUGUUAGCGGGUCAUUUCUAAACUGAAGUACAUAGUCAUUGAACAUGUACACAUUUUAAAUAGCGUUUGUUCUUGUCCAUGAAUAUAUAUGACUUCCAAUUAGCAAAUGAAUAACCUAACUCUAAUUGCAUAUUUUUUUGUGUGUAUACACACAAAUACUAAUCUGUGGGCACAUACAUUAACUUAUACACAUGUAUCCUGUGUCAAUCGGUCCCAAACUUUUUAAAACAACAUAUAUGAUAUGGAAAAUCGUUCCUUAUGCUAUUGUAUUAUUCCUUUUAGUUCCUAUAAUAUCUUACUAAGCACAUUUGACCUUUAAUUAAGUAAUAUUUGUGUUUUUAGUCCUUUUACUAACGGAGCCAAAAUACCAUAACGAACUGAUAACUUUACGAAAGGCAGUUCGGUCAAGAUAAAAUUCUCCUAGAGAAUACUUUGUUUUUCAACCAUUCUAGUUUGGAUCAUCCACUAUAUAAAGAAUCCUUUUUUUUAUGCCUUGGCUGCAUAAUUCUUCAAUUGAAGACCAAUUUCUUUUGAAGUUUGUUAGUUAGUUAUCCUUGUGAUGAACUUCACAAUUGGAUAUGGACAAAAUGUAGGUACAGUGAAAUUGGAAGCAUUUGCAGUGGUGUCUUGUGGGCUACGUUUCUUGACCUAUCCACCCUCUUCUCUAACCUCACAAGUUACUAUUAGAUUAGCGUAACUUAAUUAUAACUUGUGAUCAUUCUAGGAUCUUGCACAAUUAUUAUAAGUAUUGAAACAGGUUUCACAUUAAUGAAGUAGUAUCAAAAGAGAAAUGCGAGGAAAAGAAUAAAAUUGGGAAAAGCUGAUAAUAGACUUCGAAUAUUGGAGCAAAAUACACCCACCCCUGCCAUGAACUGUGCACUGAAUUUUAUUUUCUAAAAACAUGUACGAUUUGGUUAUAUAUAAGCUUCGAAAGUAACAAAUUUGCAGUUGUUUUGGUUUUCAACUUAUUGUGUGUAGUUACUGACAACUAAUCCACCAAAAUAAUACAAGAAGAAUUCAUGAAGUACAAUCGAAAUGAAAAUUUAAAUAUCCAAUUGGCCUUAAAAAAUAAUACAAUAACACAGGGACUAAAAUAGCUAUAUCCCCUACAUGUUAUUAUCAUAACAUGUGGGAUAUAUUAAAUGGAAGUUGGAAUGACAAAAAUUCUCAAAAAAUGUACCUCCUGCUUACUGGAAUUUAAACCACAACAUUUCCGUUACAAUGCUGUGGCUUUGGAAGACCAAGAUCCCUCCAAAACUCUUGAUUUACCUGGUUAGUGGCUAGGAAUGCAUGCCUAACACAUGAAAGACUACAAAAAAGUGGUUUGCAGAUUUGCUCACAAUGUCUACUAUGUGAUUAGAUGCGGAGACACAUGGCCACCUUUUCAUCCAUUGCAAGACAACUGCUAAUAUGUGGUACAUGCUCUAUCGUAGUUUAGAUCUCAGUUGGGUCACAUCUAAAACUACCUUUGAGUUGCUCAACAACUGGAAAGGUAUAGGUAGAAGAAAUGGGGAGGAGAAUUGGUGGCAGCUGAUCCCAGCCUGCAUAUGGUGGAUAGGUUGAUAACUUUUCGAAGACACAAGCAACCCAACACAAACUUAGGAUGAGUUCCCUUAGUCUAUUAUAUAUUUGGUGUAAACAGUAUUUCUUAUAUGUUAUAUCACCUUUAUAAAUAAAAGAAUAUAUGUUUCAUUUUGUACAACGAUGUUAAACGAAUUUUAUUUGAUUAAAAAGUUAUUUGUCUAAUAGCAUUUUAGUUUGAGCCUUCUACUUGUAAUAAAAUGUAUGUAUGUAUUUGUUUCAGAUCAUCUGUUGCUCUUAAAUCCAGCAAGUUCAGCGCCCCAGCAUAAUAAUAAACCAGACCCAUAAUGAUGAACAAGACCUAGAUACAAACUUGAUGAAGCAUCAAGUCUUGUGCUCCCAGGGCUUUGAUCUGGUGGUAAUUGUGAACAUGUGAUAUGGGGGCUAGGCGUACAUCACAACCUACCAUAGUUAAAAGCCUGGUAUUUAAAUGGAGAAGGGUAGAGGGGUGAACCUAUAAAUCUGCUGAGUUUCAAACCUUGUGCCAUUGGCUCCAGGGUUUUCCCCAUUAUAAAUAAAUAAGUAUCGAGUCUUGUACUUCUAUUUUGAUACAGGUAAGAAUAAUAUCAAGUCUCGUGCUAAGUUCUAGAAUAGAUAUUGACUUUAUCUGGUAGAGGACUGGACAUUCCAGCAUUGUUCUUUUUUCUCUACUUUCUUGGAUGUAUUUUGAGCAUCUUAUUGCCUAUUACAUGACCUUUCUUUCGAUCAAUAACAUUUCUGGUCUUUUCUUUUCUCAGCCAAUUCAAACUAUGAGCUGGGAAGAGGUGACAAAUUAGGUGGUUGGAAACCACAACCAGUUCCAAGCCUUAAAGGUGUUCGUGUUAUUCAGAUAGCUAGUGGGGGAUAUCAUUCUCUAGCUUUGACUGGUAGCUUACAGUGAAACUCCUCUAUGUAACAUGCAUCUCUGAUCUAUGUAUCUGAAAUACUUAUUUAGAAGUAUCCUUUACUCUCAGAUAAAGGAGAAGUGCUUUCAUGGGGUCAUGGAGGCCAUGGUCAACUGGGUAAUUCUUCUCUUCAAAACCAGAAAGUUCCCAUCCAAGUUGAGGCUUUGGCCCACGAGAAAGUCAUCUAUAUAUCUUGUGGAGGUUCAUCGUCGGCAGCUAUAACAGGUAAAACAUGUCACAAUCUGUUUGGUUUAGAUGCAUAACAUAAGGAAUAAUGCAGAAAUUGUCAUCCAUUAAGUCGAUGCUAUGAAUAAAGGACUUAUAAGAAAAUUGUUCUCAUCCAAUUGUUCCCACUUCCCAUUGCUGCUUUGGAGACCUGUUGGUUAAUAAGCCAUGACCAGUGCUGUAUGAUCUUUAGCUUAUUGUACAAAGGAUGUAAUGCAUUAAUGAUUAAUUUUGCUGGUGACAGAUGGUGGGAAACUGUACAUGUGGGGCUAUGCAAAAGAUUGUCAACUGGGUGUUCCAGGAUUGCCGGAGAAACAGUCAUCUCCUAUUGAAGUCAAGUUUCUUAUGGAGGAUGAUGGACUUGGGAACCAUAACGUGCUUUCAGUAGCCAUCGGUGCUUCUCAUGCCAUGUGCUUGGUUUCCAGGUCAGGUCACUGAGUGUUGAAAAAGGAUCACUCUGGUUGUAUUAUGACUCAAAAGCAAUGAAGCAGUUCUCUGCAGCUUUUAUUUGGUAAAAUUCCAGGAAUUUUUUUUUUCCAGGAAAAAUUUAGAGUUGGUCCAUUGGGGAUGAACUCUGUUUUCACCAAAUGAGAUCUCCAGAGUUUUGAGUUUCUUUUUCUUGCCUUAGUACUCCGAAAUAAAUAAAAGUUGAGAUGCUUGUUAAUCACCAAACUAGCGGCUAGUAAAAUUAGGGCACAGUACGUGUGCCUUUCACAGGCUUAUCGUGGUCAUAUAGGUUUGUGACAAAGCAGCUUUUGAGCUCUGAAUGUUGUAAAGAAAUAACCAAGACUCUUCCUAGGAAAUGUUUAGCAUCAUCUUGAUUAGCUUUCUUGAUGAUUAGUUUUCCUUGACAUGUUGAUGCUAGUUUUAUAAGUGGUUCACCUUAGAGACAGAAGAGAAUACCUGUUAAGGCUUCAACAUUUGUUUGUAUAAAUGCUAUUUGAGUUACUAUCUGCAAAAGCUCAUUUUGAUGAUUCACUUUUACUUCUUAUUAUCAUUGAUUUAAACUGUUUUGAGUAGUUUGCUCAGAGGAAUACUUUCAAAAAUUUGAUGAUGGAACAUUGGUGAUCUCCCAUUGGUAUUUAUGUUUCAGAACUUGGCCCUUUGGUAGUCAGGUCAUCUAUCAGAGUGAAAAUUCAUUCUUUUUUGGUGAGCUGUUGCAGAGUUGUGGUCUGCAGCAACCAAACUAAGGUUUUACUUCACACUUAGGUACAUGACUAAACUGGGGAAUUCCUUUCCCCAAAGAGAAUUAUCACUUGUGAUUUGACCAUCAAAAUGCCUUGGUCAAGCUGACAUCUCAUAUGAACUUGUCAUGUAUUCUAUCAGUUUUAUUUUGUUGCACAAUGACAUUUCAGCAGACUAGAAAACAAGGGAGUUAGACUCAUGGUGUCAAAUGACCGAGUUGGGCUGAAUUUGAUAGGGCAAAGUCCGUUCAAAAGUUACUUUAGCGGUUGAAAUGACCUAAAGUUUAACUGUUCAAUUCAAAAAUUUUAAUUACUUUGUUCUUUAUAAAUUUUUUUAGUAGAGAAUUAUUUUUGUAUUAUUACUAAUUGACUAUGUAUGCCAUAUCAAGUAAAAGAAUGUUUUUUUUAAAGUAUUAUGACAAGAUUUCUAGUAGGACAAUUCAGGUAUACAUAUCAAUUCAAUAUUUUGAUGGGUUAAAAUGGAUUGAGUUAGUAAAUGGGCCUAAAUUUGAAUGGAAAAUCACACCACGUAUAUAUUUUAGACUUAUAUUGCUGCAAUAAUAAUAUAUCAAGUGAAACUUUACAAGUGGGGUUUAGAGAGAGUAGAAUCAAUGUGCACUAAUGUACCACUAUCUUGAUGUUAAAUAUGUUAUUGUUGAAAGGCCCUAGGCUCGGAUAAAGCAAAUCUAGAUACAAAGAAAAAAAUAUAGCGAGCCAUAAGGAAAUAGUAUAAAGUCAACCUUGAGAGCGCAACAACACAAAAAAGUAUUGCAAAUUUGCAAUAAUCGAAUCAUAAUAAGCAACAUACUAAGAUAUAGACUUGAAAAUAAUAAAUAAUUACAGAUAUCAAAACAAGAACUAUAGCAUUACAAGUAGUACUAACUUGUGAAAGAUAACACUACAUUACCUACUAGCAUUUUAAACCUAACACUUGUCCUCCAUAUCCUUUUAUCUAAGGUCAUGUUCAAGGUAAUCUGAAACUGUGCAUUCUGUCUUAUUACCACCCCGAAUGCUUCUUCUGUCCAUCUUUAUCUCUCCUCAUAUCCUUUAUAAUCAACCUCUUGCACUUUCUCACUAGUGCAUCCACACAUUUCCUCUUCACAUGUCUAAAACAUUUCAGUCGGGCUUCUCUCAUCUUGUUCACCACAAAGGUCACUUUCACUUUAUUCUUAAUAUCCUCAUUUCUAUUCUUAACGCACACACAUCCACCUAAGCAGUCGAACCUCCACAACAUGUAUCUGUUUACGAAUAUGAAAGCGUUGACUAACGCUCCGCCUCAUAUAACAAUGUCGAUCUAACUAUCAUUUUUAUAAAAUUUACCUUUAAAUUUCGAUGGUAUAUUUUUUCAUCACACAAAACUCCAGAAGUAAACCUCCACUUCAUCCACAUCUAACUAUAAAAACGAGUCAUUAAAUGAUAUCUUCUCUUUCAUGAUUAAAUUUGCCACCUUUCAACCGUUGGCAAAAGCUUGAAUUUUGACUAAUAAUUACUUAAUGGGUUUAAGAUUUGGACCCUCUAAAAUAAUGGAACCCUUCAAGUUAAAUAUGUAGUAACGUCGUUUUCCCAUAUUAGAUUAAACAUGAUGAUGAAUAUUUGACUGCAUGCACGCCUAUAGAGAAGUGCCCCUACAUCAACUUUGCGUGUUUUACAUAAAUUAUCAUUAUGCUUCAUCAUUUUCUUUCCUCCUCCUUUAUGAUAAAAAUCUUUCUUUUUCAAUAAUAAUUAUAAACAGUUGUGGUCUUAAAAGAGCUACACAUUCUUAUGCCCACUCUCCACUAUCCCACUUAUAGAUAGUGGGGAUUGGGCUGAACAAUUUAUAUUUUCGUUCGUUCUUUUUUAGUUGUUAUGAUAAAGUUUGAUUCAGGAAAGUUAAUGAGGAAUAUCCGUUCACUAAUAUGUCUUUUAUUAUUUUCUCUGUUUACUUUUAUUUGUCAGAGGAAAUACUUUCUCUGUUCAAUAAUAGUUGUCCACCAUUGACUUAGCACAUCCCUUAAGAAAGUAUAAUAGAAGGAUAAUUCUACUAUCUAUAUCACGUACUCUUUGAAUAUAAUAAAUGCUAUGUCUUAAAAAAUGUAAUAGGAAAAUGUUUAUAUAAUUAAUGAUACGGGUAAAUUAGGAACUACGUGUAAAAUUAUUCAUGAAUUUUCAUAAAAUGGACAAAUAUUGUUGGACAUCUAUUAUUAGUAUAUUGGACAAGUAUUGUUGGAUGAAGAAAGUAAAUUUUCAUUUUACUUAUCAGUUUUGGCAUAUCAAGAAAAUACGAUUACUUUUUCUUUUCAUGUUUUAACCUUGGCAUCAAAUAUUAUUCUCUAUAUCAUUUUUCAAGAUUCAAUACUAAACAUCAAUUAGUAGAGACAAUAUGGUAAAAAUAUUUAUAUCAGUAAUUGUUUUCUUAAUGAGUGUGCCAAGUCAAACAAUGACUAGCAAGGGCAGACCCUCAUAGAGUCUGUCGAUGCUCGAGCAUCCAUUAACCUUGUAUCAUAUUAUAUGUAUCGAUGUAUAAAUUAAGAAGCAUUUCUAUAAGCUUAACGCAAAGCACCCAAUAAUCAAGUGGAUUGAUUGGCCCAAUGGCUUAUAAUGGGUGCUUAAGAUUUUUUUAACGUUGUUGAACUUGAGUCCGAAUCUCACUCUCAACAUAUUUUUCCUUUUUUAAGUAUAUUUUUUUGAACUCCUUAUAAAAGUGAACAGAGGAAGUAAUUCUUUAAUUUUUAUUAAUAUAUCUCUCUCUUAAUUCUAGCAUAAUUCGUGUUAAUGACAAAGUUAAAAAAAACAAUUAAUUAUUUAAAUUAACAAUUAUUUUGAAACAAAUAUUUUUAAUACACAUGACAACUAAAAAAAUGACGCAAGGAGAUAUUGUCGCGACCCCUCAAUUAAUAGUAAUAAUAAUUCGUUUUUGGGACCAAAAUUAGGUACAUUCUUGUAAUAACCUGAUCCAGUUGACCACUUUUUAAUUCACCAUUUAGUUUUUAUUAUUUACUUAUAACCUUAAAGAAGUAGUGGUUGAAGUGGUAGAUAGACGACCAAAUAUCAAAUGUUUCAUUUAAACGGUAAUAAAUUUUUUUAAUUUAGGAGUUAAUUACUUAAAUACAUUUUACUUUGUAUUAUUAUAUAUAUUAUUAGAUUUUCGUGUUAUUAGAUAUACUCAAAUACAUGUCUUUAGAAUACAUGAAAUUAAAAUUAAUUGUAAUUUAUUCUUAAUCAAGUGGAUUGGCAUGAAUCUGGUAUAUAUAACAAAUCUCACUCACCUCUCUCAUCUCGCUCGUCACUCUCCAUCUCAGAUAUGUGCGAAUCACAUCAAAUACAAACGAAUCUCACUCGUUAAUAUAUCUUAAACUUUUAAUUAAUAGUAAAAUAGGUAACAUUUUCAAAGUAUAUAUAAUAAUAGUAUAUAUCCCAGCGACGUAUCUCUAAUUAUAUAGUUUUUCCCUUUAUUUAUUUCCUUCUCCUGUGUGAACAAGGAAUAAUUCUGUCAAAACUUUAAGCGAAUUAGAUAUCAAUAUCAUACGGAUAGUUCAAGAAUUGGCUGGCCCUUUUGUUAUGUCGUUUGUACAUGCACUUAUUAGAAUGAACAAAAACUAAGGGGUCCCAUUAUUAUCACUCAUUAUGUUAAAAAUAAUUUUUAGCUUUAAUAAAUAUUAAUUUUAAUAAAGAGGGCUAAAAAUUUUAAUGACAUUAAUAUAUUAUGAUUUUUAAUUAAUCCAUUUUUAACCUGGCCAUUUGUCACUCUUAAUUAGUUAUUGUAUAAUAAUUAAAUCUCUCUACAACAAAUAUCAACAAUGAAAAUAUUUCACUUUAAUAACUAUAUUAUUCUUCAAAUUAGUUUUCCAUAUUAUGUUAUAUCAUAUAUUUUUAUAAGGGUAAAGGGUCAAAUAUACCCAUAUACUAAAGGAAAGAGUCUAUAUAUACCCUUCAUUAUACUUUCAGUUCAAAUAUGCCUCUCAUGUUGUACUUUGAGUCCAAAUAUACUUCUCUUUGGUACAAAUAUACUCUUAACUUUGAUGGAAAAACAUAUGACAAACUCAAAAUCAAAUUAUUUACUCUCAAUAUGCUUAGAAACUAAUUUGUGUAACUCAUCCAACUCAUUCCCUUCGUUUUUAAGCUCUUAUUUUCAUUUUUCUCAUUCAUUAUUCUAUUCUUAAAUUUCUUGUACCAAAAAUAAUAAUAUAUGCAUAUCACGCUAUAUCAUUAUGCUGCAUUUUUCUCUCACAAAUUAUAAAAUUAAUCAUUGUACCCACAUCUUCUUACUAUUAUAAAAGAACAAGAAAAUAAUAAACGUAGGGAGUCAUCGAUUUUUGGAUGCUGAAAAUUCUUAGAACGUAUCUCAGUAGUGUAUUUUCUUGAUUAAUAUUGACACUUUUUAGAAGACGUUAAGCAUGAUAUUUUUUUUUUUAAAAAAACCUCAAUUCGAAAGAAAAAGAAAAACCAUAUUAAUUUUUGAAUACGAUAAAUUAUUACCUUCUUUUAAGAAGAAGAUGCAAAGAAAAAAAAUCAUAGUAGAGGAAAUGAGUUUCUAAAAGAAUUAAGUAUUUAAAAUCCGAGAUGCGUUAUUUGAUUUUUAGCUUGUCACGUGUUUUUCGUUAAAAUUGAGGGUAAAUUUGUGUCAAAGUAUAAUUAGAAGGAUAUAUUUGAACCCAAAGUACAACGAAAGAGGUAAAUUUAGACCUAAAAUAUAACAAAGAAUAUAUUUAAACUAUUUCCAAUGGUACAAUUAUAUUUGACCCUUUACCCUUUUUAUAAUAAUAUUGUGAUAUAUCAAUAGAAUAAAAUAUCUUAACAAAUAUACUAUUAUAAAAAAUUUCACAAAAGAAAUAUUAUUAUAAAAAACCACAAGAGGAUCAUAUGGUGAAUGGAUGAGAUUAUUAAUCAAAUAUUUUGAAUUUGAACCUUAAACAUUAAAAAAAAUUUAAACAUCUCGAGUUCAACCCCUAAAUAUGACAUUGUAUAAUUUUUUUUAUAGACAGCACUUCCUCCCAAUAUAAGACCUACUAUCAAGCAUCACAUGGAAAAUUAAAAAAAAAAACUACUAUAAAACAAUUUGAUUGUGCUAUAAUAUAAUUCUCUGUGGACUCCAUUAUGGUUCUCAAAAGCAUAUAGUAUAUAUAUCAAAAAGGGAAAAAGACACCUGCUCCAUUUCCUAUCAACAGAGCACAAUGUCUUUUUCAUUCAAAUACACAAGCAAUUUAAUUUUUUAACCAACUCGAAUCCCCACAAUGACCAAAAAAGAUUAAUUUUAUUAUAUUCUCUUUAGUGUUUGACACCCAAAGAGAUUAAAAAGUUUAGAUUAAUUUUAUUAUAUUCUCUUUAGUGUUUGACACCCAAAGAGAUUAAAAAGUUUUUAACUUCUCUGAUUAUUAAGACGUUAUAUUGUCUCUUCUUGUGGCCCAAAAUAUCACUAUUUUUCAUAGUCACUUAAAAAAUAACUAGUCGUGUCAUAUGAGGGAUACAAUAUAACUUAUAAGAAUUUCAAAUUAGUUGUUAUAUAUUUAAUUCUGAGGUUGUAUUAUUUUUCUAGAGGAGCUAUUAAUAAUGUAGGUAUUAAUUAUGUAAGUAUUGAUUAGGUAGUUUUAUAAUACAUUAGUGAGCUAAUUCUUUUUUUUAAUUUCCAAAAAAUUUUAGUGAACUAAUAAUUAUCAUACCCGUUAAAAUAAAUAACUAUCUAAAUAACAUAUUAGAAUUAAAUAAAUACCAAUAGCUAAAGAUAAUAAAGUAAAUAACAAAUAAAUAGCAAUUAUGUAAUCUAUAUAUUGAAUAGGAUUAAUCAAUUUAAAGUAAAUAGCCAAAAAUUUAAAAUAGAUUAAUGCAUGUAUGGAUGUGCAUUGCAAAGAGAUUAAUUAAAGGCUUAAGUCAUAUACCGCUCCUCAAAGUUGUCUGCGUAAUUCACUUAGACACCUCAACUGAGACUUGUACCUAUUGAACACCUAAAUUGUUCAAAACAUGUACCUAUUAGACACAAAAUGCUGAUAUCGCAAAAAUUGUGUAUUGCAUUUUUCUGAAGCGCGUGAAAAGACUUAAAAUAGUGUCUUUUUUAUUUAUUUUUUUAUAUUUUUUCUUCUUUUAUUGACACUUGGCAUUAUAAUUAACUUUAAAUAUUUUCUUCUUUAUUUACACUUUUUUCAAAAAAGAAAACACCCCACUCCCUAUAUAUCAUCUUCUUCAUAAUUUAGUUUACAAAACUUUCUUCAUUUUAGCUCUAACACUAUUUUUUUUCUUUUUUAUAAACAAAAAAUUUAUAUCUUCCAAAUAUGAAGAUAAAUGAAAAUCAACUAUAAAGAUUCAGAUUUAAAAGAAAGUCUUCGUAUGAUUUAUUUCAAAUCUCAUAAAAACAAGGAACAAGUAUGAAGAUGAAAAAAGAUAAAUGAAUUUUACGUAUAAAAAUAGUUAGCCGAUAUUUAUUUAUCACAAUUUCAAACAAAGAUUUUUACUCAAAUUCAUAUGUGGUCAUUAAAUUUAUCAAAAAUGAUAUAAAAAAAAUUGAUAGAAAUAAUUUUGGAGCUAUCAAUUUCAUUUUGUCAUCGAUGUAGAAUUGAAUAAUCGCCAACAAAAGUUUCUUUCUUCUUCACUCUUAGUAUGAAAAAAAACAUAAUCUUGAAGUUAUUUCAAAAGAAUAAGAUUUUGUAAUUUGAGAAAGAAUGUGUUUUGGGGAAGAAGACGAAGAUGAAAGGGGGUUGGAGUGGGGUGGGGUAAGGUGGGGUAGAAUAGGUUGACAUUUUCAUUUUUCUUUUUUAAAAAAUUAGAUAUUAAAUGUGUGUGGAAAUUUUUCAAAAUGUCAAUAUUUUAGCAUUUAAGAGGACUCAUUAGCAACAAUUUCAAUAUUUAGUAAAAAUAUCAUUUUAGUUUGUUAUGUAUCUUAUUUAUGUUUUUAUUAUUUAUUUUUAUUUAAAGAGUAUAAUUAUUUAAUAACAAAAAGGAGAAAAUUAAGGAGGGGAAUAUUUCAAAAAAAAAAAGGCAAGCAUCCUUAAUUUUCUCAUCAGUUACAUUUUCAAAUAAAAUUUAAAUUUUAUUUUUUUUCUCCAGAAUUUUUAUCUUUUUAAAAUUAUAUUCAUUCCACAAUAUAUUUUAUUUAUAUUUAUUAUAGUUUUUUAUUAGUUUGUAUUCAUUCCAAUAGGUAUGCCGAAUUUAUCUAUAUAGUCAUUUAAGAAAUAUAUUUGUAUUUUCAUAUAUUUUUUCUCUAUAUAGUUAUUUUUUUCUUCAAAAAUCCUGUAUGUAUUCAUUUCAAUAUGUAUUUUAUUUGUAUUUUUAUUUAUUCUAGUUUUUAUUUAGAAUUUUGUAUAAUAAUAUAUAAAAUACAAAAAAUUAGUAUGAUGAAAAAGUGAAUGAAAUAUAAAAUUGAAAAGAAAUAAUUGAAUAUUUGGUGUACUCAUUCUUAAAUAAAAUACAUAACUAGUUGACAUACCUUUAGAAUAAAUACAAAUUAGAAAAAAAUGUCAAAUUCAGUUGUCAUACCUUUAUUAGUUUGUAUUCGUUCCAAUAUAUAUGUCAAAUAAAAUGUAGCUAUUUAAUAAAUAUAUUUGUAUUCGUAUAUAUUUUUCACUGUGUAUUUAUUUUUCUUUUCAAAAUCUUGUUUCCUUUUCUAAGUCGUAUUCAUUCCAAUAUGUCUAUUAUUUGUAUUUGUAUUCGAAUACAAAUAAACUAAUAGAAAGUUGUUCUUCUUAUAAAUAAAAUACAUAACUAGUUGACAUACAUUUGGAUGAAUACAAAUUAGGAACAAAUACAAGAUUCAUAAACCAUGAAACAUGAAAUUUUUAAUAAAUACAAAUAUUGAUAGUAUACAUAGUGAUUUGAAUACAAAUUAAGAAAGCAUACCAAAUUCUAAAUAACUAUAAAUACAAAACAAACUAAUAGAAAAUUGUUCGAAAACUAUCCGAUCUUCGUCGUCUUUUUCAAGAUCCUCACGAGUAGACAAAGAUUCUACAUUUGCGUUCUGAAUUUGAGAAAAGUUUUGCACACCAAUGAGUCUUGUAAAUGUUCUUACCCUCUUUGUUCCCUCAUUUUAGCAGUGGAUCAUACAUUAUACACUAUUUGUUAAGUAAUAAAUAAAUUAAAGGAUGAAAAAUCACCAGAAAUUGGUUGAUUAAGAUGAAUACCUCUAGUAAGCCUCUUGGAUUCAGUCAUUGGAGAGUAAAUCAUAACAGAAAUUGAAAAAUACAAACAACAUUUUUUUAAGAUUUAAACAAAAAUAAAAUUAGAAAAGAAAUCUGAAAAUAGGAUAGAGAUUAGAGAUACCUUAAUCAAAGGGAUUCUCGUUGAUUCAAUUUUGGAUUAAAAAAACAACCAAAAUAUAUGACAAAAAAAAUUUUUGCAACUUGAAUGUUGAAGGAAAAUCAGAAAAGAUAAUCAUGAGAGUAAAAAAAUUAAAUGAAAGAGAGAAUUAACAAUUAAAAAAGAUAAAUAUGAGAGAAAAUGUUUUUUUUUAUUUUUAAAAAAGGAUGUAUAGAAUUAAUUGAAAAAGAGAGAUAAAAUAGGAAGAAAAUUGAGACACAUAAAUUUUUUAAAAUAAUGACAUUUUUGACAUUAUUGCUAAUAUUUAUAAAGUAUGGAUAUUUUUACUAAAUAUGUUACAUAUUUUGACUAGUUUACUAAUUUUCCCUUUUUUUUUUAUAAUUUUUGGGCCCAAUGCCAAAUGUUAUUUUUUAAUUAGUCAUGUUGCCACGUCACCGCAAGUGUAUCACACACUCUUCACAUUUUUUGUUGAUUAUCAAAAAAUGUCUAAUAGAAACGAUUAUUAUAUAGAUAAAAGUGUUCGAUUGGUACUACUAUUAGUUGGAGCGUCUAAGUGAAUUAUGCGGACAACUUUAAGAGACGCUGAUGACUUAAGCCUUAAUUAAAUAAACAAGAAACUAAAAUAAUCAUUGUCUUACCGCCAAAGAAAAUAAUCAACUAGAUUCAACAUAAUAAAACAACUAACAAGAUAAGAAAUUUUUGGUAGUGCUUCUUUACGUGUAUUAAUGUAUUUGAUUUGUUGUAAAUUAGUAUACAUCUAUUAAAAAGGUAAAAAGUAAUUGAUAGCGAUAAAUGUGUAAUUCACAAGUUUUAUACAUGUAUAAUUAAUGUUCGCAUAAUUUAUUACACCUUCUAUCCUGCAUAAGUUAUACACAGAUUUGCUCUCAAGUUAUGCAAGCAUUACUAAAGUAGGAUUACAUAAAACGCAACCAACUACCGUAUACAUGAAUAAUUUGUAUACAACAUUUGGAACCAACCAACCAAACAUUGUAUAAAGUUAAUAUAUGAAUAACUUUUGUCCUAUUUUUAAAGCAAACAUAGUGUAAAAUUAAUUCAUGUAUUAGAUGCAGCUUUAACUUGUUCGUUUAUUAAGAUGAUAUUAUUGCACAAGUAAGUGUAGAGAAUAGCAGAAGUAAAGUAUAAUCAGAGAACCCUUCUGCUAGCUCAAGAUCAUUAAGUAAGAUCAGAAGAUUCAACCGAAGAAAAAGAAGUUAGAAAGGAGGACUAGAUAUGAAAGAAGACUCUUAUAACGGUUUUUUUUCUUGAAUGCAAAUGUACGAGACCAUCCCCUAUUUAUACUUGUCUAUAGAUAAUUCUAGAAACUUUUCUAGAUACAUCUACAAGAAAUAUCCAGAUAUCUUUUUAGGAUACAACUUUUCUAGUACAUCUAGAUAUUUAUUCAAGAUAAUUUCUAAAUUUCUACUAUAGGAUAUUCUAGAAAAAUCUAUGCUAUUCAAAAAAUCAUUUUUAACUUCUUUCAUACUCCCCCUUAAAGUAAGUUUUUGGAACUAUCCCAAUCUUGCCGCGAGAAAAUUCAAAAGAAGUUUUUGAAAGUGAUUUGGUGAAGAUAUUUGUAAUAUUCUCCUGAUUUCGUACCUCCGCGUAUAUAAAGUUCUAUCAAGAGCUUUUUCUCGAAUGAAAUGAUAACGUUUCACCUCAAUAUGCUUAGUUCUUGCAUGAAAUAUCGAAUUGUUUGCAAGCUUGAUGGCGCAUUGGUUGUCUCCGCAGAUUGUAGUUGGCUUUGAUAUAGAUAGAUGAGAAUUUUUAGCAAGUCUUUGGAGUGAUACACAUUCUUGAAUAGUAAGAGUUAGUGCUUUAUAUUCUGCCUCCAUAAUUGAUAAAGAAAUUGAGUCUUCUUCUUGAUGCACCAAGAAAUCCCUAUUCCACCACAAAGAAAAAUAUAGUCUAAUGUAGAUCUUCGAUUAUCUAUAUCACCAUCAAAAUCUGCGUCAGUAUCAAGCCAUUUUUUCUUUUAAAAAUAGGUCCAUAUCUGAUGUUAAGUUGCUAUACUUUAAAAUCCUCUUUGUAGUAAUAGUCAAAUACAAGAGACUUCCUACAAGAGCUCGGUAAGAUUUGGGAUCUACAAGAAGUGAGUCUUCUUCACACCUUAGCCUCAUGCUAGUCUUCAAAGGCGUAGAAAACAUUUUGCUUUGUUUCAUUCCAAAUUUGUCCACAAGCUUCUUGGCAUAUCCUUCUUGGACAACAAAGACCCCUUUACUUGUAUUUGUUAUCUCUAAGACAAGAAAAUGAUGUGAUUCUCCCAACUUCUUGAUAUCAAAUCUUAGGGCAAAUUCUUCUUGAAGCCUUGCAACUUCAUCAUCAUUGUUUCUUGUUAUUAUCAUAUCAUCCACAUACAAGAGAACAACCACAUGCAAAUAUCCUUGUUUUUAAAGAAACAAGCUAGGAUCUAAAUAUGAAAUGGUAUAGCCACAGAAAUAUAAAUAUUGAGCAAUUUUUUCAUACCAUUCUUGUGGAGCUUGCUUGAGUUCAUAUAAUGUUUUUUUAAGUUUACAAACAUAAUCAGGAUAUAAGUUAGAAACAUACUCGAUAGUUGCUUUAUAUAAAUAUCUCUGUUAACUUCUCCAUAUAAGAAAUCAUUUUUCACAUAAUAGUUGCCAAGCGUAUGAGGCUUCCAUAGCUAGUACAACUCGAACUGAGAUCAUCUUAGCCACCAUAUGAAUAUUUCUUAGUAGUCUUUGCCAUAUUUUUGAUAUGAUAAAUUCCUCGAGCAAUCAAUCUAGCUCUAUGUAUGUCUAUGCUUUCAUCUGUUCUUUUGAUUUUGUAAAUCCAUUUGCAAGUAUUAGAUUGUGUCCAUCACAGUUCGAGUUCAGAUAGGUUUCAAUUAUUUUUACUUGUACCCUAGUGCUUACUCAACUUGGCAUAGUUCAUUGAGUCUCAUGCCCUCAUACACACAAGCAACAAAGGCACAGUAGAAAGAAAGCAUCGUCAAGUAGUUAAAAUCGGCCUUAGCCUUCUUGCUCACAAUUUGAUUCCUUUUCGCUUUUGGCACUACACACUUGAGUAUGCUGUUAUUUUAAUUAAUCAUCUUCCUUCCGUCACAACUCAUGGUCUCUGUCCGUAUGAACUAGUCCAUCAUUCCAAACCUGAUUAUUCUUUUCUUAAGGGCUUUGGUUGUCUAUGCUUUCCUUACGUUCGACCAUACAAAAAACACAAGUUUGAUUUCCAAAACAGAACUUGUGUAUUUCUUGGCUAUAGUCCAUCUCACCUAGGGUAUCAUUUUUUUGGAUUGGUCCACGGAACGUAUUUAUGUUGCUCGACAUAUUCACUUUGAUGAACAAAACUUUCCAUUCGACAAGCCAUUUAUCCUUGGCCCUGCACCAAAUCAUGCUCCAUCUAACACAUCUUGGGCUUCCCUUCCGAUCUUCUUCUAUCGCAUCUCUUUCUCCUUUUCUGCUCAUCCUACUCAAUCACCUACGCCACCAGUAAUAUCCUACCAUUAAUUUAGAAGGCUCUUUGUCUAACUCUUUAAGUCCCGAACACACUACCAGUACACCUAUCAAAGCUCAAACUAUGUCCUCUUUGGAUGCUUCCACUCUACCAUCAAAUUCUCUCCAAGGUGAUCCUAAUAUCUCUUCCCCUGUUUGCCUCCUAAUGUCGAUUAAAGUAUCUCCAACAUGCUCCCAGAAUCUUCCCCAUCUUUGCUGCCUCCGCCAACGCAUACCAAUAAACUCACAGCCCCUCCCAACGCUCACAGCAUAUGAAUCUUAGUCAUAUUCCCCCGUCCGCAAAUUUGGCCUCCACUUCAGAUCUAUUACCCUCUUCCACAUGUGAGCCAUCAUGUUCUACUGAAGCUUCCAAACAUAAAAAGUGGUGGGCUGCUUUGGCAUUUGAAAUGGAUGCAUUAUUACGGAACGACACAUGCUGUUUGGUUCUGUAUGAUCCCUCAAUGAAAAUUCUUGGGUGCAAGUGGGUGUUUCGAGUAAAAAGAAAUUCUUCUCGUGCGAUAGAGCGCUACAUGGAUCGCUUAGUUCCAAGGGAUUUCACCAACUCCAAGGUCAUGACUACUAUGAAACGUUCAACCCUAUUGUUAAGUCGAUCGGUGGCUAUGUUAUCUUCGUUGGUGCUACUCUCAUAUCUUAACUAUAAAAGGGGUAAUAGGACGUUAGAAUAGUUAAGGUGUGUUUCUGGGAUUUCAGUGAUAGUCUAGAGGGAUAUUUGUGCAUUUUCCCGUAUACAAAAAUAAAGUUCAUGAGUUAAUAAAACUUUAACAUGUAAUUGACAAUUUCACCGUAACAGUCCUAUACUUUGGGCCUGUUUGGCCAUAUUUUCCUAAAUAAUAUUUGGGGGGAAACUUGACAAAUAGUGUUUAUCCACACAUUUUGUCAUUAUUUGACAAAUAUCCCAAAUUCUCAAAUACUAGUUUUUCUAGUAUUUGGAUCAAAUCUCAUUAUUUGGGAUCUUUUAAAAAUUGAAAUUUUAUCCAAACUUUUAUCUUUUAUAAAAACACCCUCUAUAGUUGUUGCUUACUUUGUAUUACAUAAUUUUUUACGUUAAUUCCAAAGUAGUGAUAAAAUAUUCGGUGAAUGUUAAAUGAUAAUAUGAUUAUUGAUAAAAAUGAUGAACAAUCGGCUCUAGAUAACAAAGUCAUGUGUUUUGUCUACUUCGGGAUGUAUGAAAUGAUGCUUGUUGCACUCACUCCAAAUCACCACAUUGCUCUAGUGUCAUAGACACUAUUUUUUAUUGUUGUAACAAAGAUCCAAUUAACUUGUAUUACAAACUUAUAGUUAGUUUUGAUAUUUUUAAAACUUAUGGUAUAAAUCAUAUUUUUCUAAAAAAAGUGAAAUAUAUUUCCCAAAUAGUAUGGCUAAACACAUGGUGAAAUUUCACCCAAAUAAUAUUUGCCAAAAAUAUUUUAAAUCUAUGGUCAAACGCUAACUUUAUAUAUGUUUAGAAUUGAUAAAAAAAAAGUUUGACAAUUUCACUAUAAUAGUCUUAUACUUUAUAUAUGUUAGAAUUGAUAAAAGAAAGUUCUAUCAAAUUUCAAAAAGUUACAGGAUCAUAGUGUACCAAUACUUUUACUAGUAAUACAUAAUUAUAAAUUAUGCUCAAUCAAAAAAGGAUUACAAUCGUUCAAAUUAGUAACUUUAUCCUAAAACAAGAGACUAAUUUGAAUUUUAAAAAAAAAAAUUGAGAACACUGAACAAUCAAAAUAUGUAUACGUAUUAUAUGCAUCAUCAUCAUGUGCUGUGCUGACAGAAACUGAACUUUCUUGAACUCAAAUAUUUUAAACUUACGCCAUGGAAGUAUUAAAAGCAGAGCACUGGUUCACUGGUCUCGAUAUCUGUUCGCCGGCGCUAGCCGGACAAGCCAUGAACCCCACCGGCACCGGUGGAACCAUACAAUUGUACGAUAAACACAAUGCUACUGAAUCCGGCAAUGGUAAUCCUUCUUUCACUGGAAACUCAGCAAUGUAAUUAUGUUGCAAAUACAGAGUUCUCGUGCUUCCACUGUAAACACUCUCCACGUAAUCCUUGGGUACUGCUCCCGUGAAUCGGUUGUUGUUAAGAAAGAGUGUUUCUACUCCGGCGAGAGUAUUUGUGAGUUCGCCGGUGAGUGAGUUAUGACUUAGAUCGACGGUGGAUCCAGGGCCGUAUGCGGUGGCGGCAGGGGAGAAUAGCGGUUGUUGUGGGACCCUUCCGGUGAAAUUGUUCCGUUGGAGGUACAUUGAUGAUAACGUGGAUCGGAAGAGUGAUGAAGGGAUGGUCCCACUGAAACGGUUCAUGCUUAAGUCGAGGUACACUAACUCUGAGAGUGAUUCGAGGACGCUCAGUGGUCCCCACAACCGAUUUCCUGAUACUGACAGAUAACGGAGCGUUAACGGCAUUCUCUGCAACAUUCCCGAUAGCUCAUUGUUACUCAAAUCCAAGUGAAGUAACUCCGUCGGUAGAAUCGGGAUCUCGCCGGAGAUUUUGUUAGAUCCCAGUACCACUACCUUCACCGAAGAUAACUCGGAAAUUGAACGAGGAAUUGUUCCAGUGAGUUGAUUGUGACUCAAAUCGAGAGUGUGGAGAUUCGGGAGUGUGAAAAUAGAAGUAGGUAUGGAUCCAGUUAAGCGAUUGUUGGUGAGAGAGAUGACGCUGAGUUUUUUGAGUGUUCCGAUUUGGUCAGGAAUGGGACCCGUUACAAUUCCGGUGAAAAGAAGAAGCUGAGUUAGCUCGGAGAGGUUAGAAAUAGCUGGAGAUAAUAUCCCGGCAAGGCCAGGUGAAUCAGAUAGACCAGUUCCAAGUGUGAGUGUAGUAACGCGUUUAGGAAUGAGCAUAGAGCAAGUAAUCCCAGCAAAUGAGGAGCAUGGGUCCGGAGCAUUGAAGUCCCAGCUGGUGAAAAAUGCAUUUGGGGAAGAUGAAGUAAUGUCGGUGAGGCUGUUUUUGAUUUCACGCAGAGCAGAUAAAUCAACAACACUGAUACCUUCUGCACUCAAAAGAAGGACAAGAGGUAACAACAAAAGAAACACCCUCAUUGCUCUACUUUCUAUCUUGUUUUCUUCUUCCUUUUUUUAGUGUGUUAUCUGAAAAAUGCAAAAUGAGACACAGGUCAAAUAGAAAAAAAGAAAAAGAAGUAAGAAAUACAAAAAGCUCUGGGCUGUCAGAUUCCUGUUUUUAUUUGUGCUCAUGUGCACGCUAUGAAGAUAAUGAAAAAGAAAUCUGAGGUCCCAGAUUGAAUAAAUCAAGUAGUUGCGACUUUUCUCCGGCAAAGAGGAGAGAGAAAGAAGGACUGAAAAUUGUGGGGGCACUAAAUUUUAGAAAGAGAAAGAAAAGAGGUAUCAAUAUUACUUCUCCAACGGUAUAAAUCCGUUAGUAAAAUCAGCUAAAAGGUGUAGUAGGUUAGUUGAGAUCCUUUCAAUUUUGCUCUAGUUUAGUGUAUCCCCUAGUAGACUUCAGUCCCUGGCAGAGAAUUUUUGUUAUAAAAAUGAGCAUACUACAUAAUAAUUAUAUUCUCUAAUUUUAGGUAUACAUACCUAAAUACUUAAAAAAGAUUUAACGUGAGAUUUAUCAUGUUAAAUCUACGUCUGAUAUAACGUGAGAUUUAUCAUGUAAAAAGUUUGUGUCUACUUAUUUAAUUUUAUAAUCGUCAAGUGUUUAUGUAUAUAACCAAAAUAUCAGCUGACCCUACGUUAAUAGACAUGUGUAUGCAUUAUGCAUAUAAAAUUGUACCACAUGCGAAUAAGUCAAUUAUAUCUAUAACAACAUCGUUUGUUUAAAUUAUGUUUCUUUUACUAUUCCAUUCUCUUCUACUUGUCCCUUUUUCAUAAUUAGAUUUUUUCCCCCACUUUUACUUGUCAUUUUUAACAUAUAAAAAGACUUAUUUUGCCUUUUUUAUCCUCUAACUUUAGUACUUAUCCUCUAAAUUAUUUCUCAAAACCUUAGAAUAUAUACAUCAAUUAACAUUAAUAUGAUACAAGCAGUAUUAAUCAUUAUUUCUUUAGAAAAUGCUAAGUCCAAAAUGAAUAAAUAAAUAAUUUUUAUAAGCAAAUUAUAAUGAAAUGUGAUUAUAUAUAAACAAUAUCCUUUACCUCACCAACAUGGGUUGUCAUGCCUGGGUGACAAUCCUUUAUCAUGCCUGGUGACAAUCCUUUAUCCUUAAACGGAGGUCUCGGAUUUGUGGGUAUAGAUAAAAAAUUCUAUUGGAAGCGCUAUCCUCGAAUGGGUUCUGCAGUGCGCGAUACUAAUUUAGUAAGAGCUUCAAUGUGAACUUCUAACACCGAGUGGAGAAAAAUAUAUAUCUUUUACCUCUACCUCCUUGGACAAAAGUAAUUCUUCCACCUCUAGAUAUGGAAUGAUGAGAGCAAGGAAAAGAAAAAGCUACAAGUAAAAAUUAGUUACCACAUAUGACAGAGCUAAGAACAUAAUGUAGACAGUUGGAGCACUUGAAUUGAAUAGGGUCAUGUCAUGAAGAUAUGUUAUUAAGAUCCCAAACCCAACCAAUUAGUAUGUGAGUCAAUUUCAUGACUACCAGUGGUUGGUCACUCAUGUGGAGUGUUGGACCACUUGUAUAUAAAAACUAUAGUAUAGUACCCCAAUAUCUAAGGCAAACACAGAUUGUCCAAUGCAGCCAAAAGUUAACACACAACUCAGGAGAGUUACACUUCCACCCCACUCUGCUAUAUACAAUAUGUCCCUCAACCAAUCGCAAGUGCUCUUCUACUAGAUAGAUAUAAGAUAUUUGAGUGCGGCCUAGUGAUCAAUGAAGUAGUUGAGAAUUUUAAUGUCUCAAAUUCAAAACAUAUAUUUGGUGAUUAUUUUCAUCUGUUCUAGCUUUGGUAGACAAGAAUUAUCUGGUAUCUGUUGCUGAUGUGAGGUUCAAAUGAUAGGUAUGUUGUAAAUUUAAUUGAGAUACCACGAUUAUUAAAAAAAAAGUAUACUUUUGAUUGGAUUCGCUCCUCCUCUCCAUUUUCUCGAGCUCUUGGAUUAAAGACGUAUGUUAUGGUCCCGUGGACUCAUGGUUAAGAAUGAUAAAUUUUUCAUGUAUUUGCUUUUAGAUUAUUUUUUUUGGCAAAUAUCGUAAUUUAGUAAAAUAUAUUUUUUAUUAAUAAGUACUUAAAUACUUUUCUCUUUUUGCAAUAUAUAUACGAUCGACUCUUUUUUAGUAUUUGAAUAGAAAAAACACACACGCAGGAAUGAGAAAAUAAUUAGAUUCCCAAAAAUCUAAAUCAAUGUGUGAUAUUUGUAAAAGAAAUAAUUAUUUAAUGUUAAAAGUCUAGUGGUCACUGAUAUAUUGAGAAAUUGACUUGUCAAUUGUUAAAAGGCAAAAAGAUAAAGAAGGGAAACCAACAAAUAAUCAAGUAAAGAUUAACUUGAAAUACAAAAACUAAUAAUUGGAAGUUCACAAACAUAGAAACAGAAAAGAAGAAAGAAGUAAAAGCUACUUCUUAUACUAAACUUCGAUUUUUUUUCAACUACUCCCAAAACUAUCAAAUGUCUUAGUUACCUCUCUAAAUUUGCUUAUUUGAUAGUCUUUAGCAUGCGUUCGGAUAUGCAAUUUCAUCAUAAAUUUGAAGUAUUAUUUUAAAUUUUACAAAAAGAAAAAGAAAAAAGCUCAUGCUCGGUGUGUAAAGAUUGUUUAUACUCUAUAAAAGAAUUGUAUCAAAAAAUAACUAGUUACUACUAUUUCUUAACCACAAACAUCUAUUUAUACAAAAGAAUUGAUAGAUUUAUCAGUACGACACCUAAAAAUAUUCUGAUAUCUUAUUUAUAAAUUACGAUUUGUCCAUUUGGUAAAAUUGUAAAAUAAUUGAAGAAAAUUUGUAGUUUUCGACUAAAAUAGCCGCAUUUAUAUGCAAUAUACCGAUAUAAGAUUAAUAGUUAUAUACACAUAUACACUGUUACUUAAUAUAUACAUUGGAAUUUUUCAUCUUCACCAACGAGCUAAAUUUAUUUUGUAAUUGCAACCAGCUCAAACUCCUCUAUACAAUUAAAUUCUGAAUUUCAGAUAUGAGCUUCUUUCUUUGUUUCGAUUCUUUUAAUAUAUUAUUUACUCUGAAAGAUUCACAUUUAUGGCUGAUCAAAUUAUUAAAUUGAGUUUCAAAACUUUUCAAUGGCACAAAAUAUUCAAGACUUUAUUUAUCAAGCAAAUUAUAGUAUGUUGAAAUUCUCACAUUUAUAGAAAAAGCAAAUAACAUCCACCAUCACAUUCACCUUCUUUGAAUAAGAUAAUUUGACUAAAUAGACAUUUUUGUAGUGUAGCAACGAGAUAAGUUGUCUAUAUAAUGUUAAUUGAUCUUUUAGAGGUUGUAUUAUGGACAACUUUCACAUAUAACAAAUAAAAAAUUCAUAUUUGUAUGUUAUAACAAAGUUUGCAUAAUUGUGCUUCAUAGCAAACAUAAACUGUAUAAUUCGCUAUACAUAUACACUUGAAGCAAAUUGUAUAAAAUGAAGUGUAUAGAACAAGAAAGAAAAAGACACUUGGGCAGAUAACUGUAUAAAAACGAAGUGUAUAAAACGAAUUAUUAUUAUAAGUGUAUAGAACGAUUAUAUACAAUUUGAAUUUGUAUAAAAUGAGAAAGAGAGAAAGACAAAAGAGACUUGACAAGGAAUAUACAAUUGAAUCGAAUUGUAUAAAACGAGAAAGAGAGAAAUUAGAUACAAUUUGAAAAUUGUAUAAAACGAGAAAGAGAGAAAGGCAAAAAAUACUGGGCAUGGGAGUAUUUUUAUUGUAUAACUAUAAGUGUAUAGGACGAAAAUAUAUGUACUUGCAUGUGUAUAUAAAAUUUUCUCACGCUUUAUACAAACAGAAACACAAUUUAUACAUUUCGCUUCUGUUUGUAUAAUAUAAGUAAGAAAGGUGAGGGUGGUGAGUGAGAUUUGGGAGAGUGGCGAGCGAGAUCUGGAAGAGGGGAACAAAAAUAUAUGUAUUUAUAUAAUUUUCUCUGCUUUAUACAAUUAGAAAAAAAAUUAUACACUUGUGUUUCUAUAAAAAGUGAGGAAGCUAGCGAGAGAUUGGAGGAGAGUGGCGAGCGAGAUAUUUGGGAGAAAGGCGCCUGACAAUUUUUUUGCAAACGUUUGCUAUGGAGCACAAUUAAAUCAAACUCUAGUUACUCCAUUUAUUUUAGAUUAUUAAUUUGUUAUUAUAUACAAUUUUCCCUCGUAUUAUUUAGGAAUGUUUUUGUACUGCAAACAAAUCCAAUAGCAGAUGUGGACAAGAACAUUUGGCCCUUUGGGCUAUUCAACAAUCACUUUGGAGAAUAUAGUUAUUGGGCCUACACCAAGAUUGGAUUUUUGGGAGUACAUGAUUGCUUGAUGAGAGCCACUAUAAUUUUGAUUGAGUUUUGUAAGGGCUCUUUAAGUAAUUGUAUAGACAAAAAAAAGUUCUUAUUUAUUUCGAUUAAAAUGACUAUAUAUAAUGUAUGAAUAUUGUAUAAUCAUAUAUAAUAGAUGUAUAUUUCAUAUACACUAUUUAUACAUUUUGUAGUAGUUCAUCUUCUUGAGUUGAUUUUUUACUAACUCAAAUCUCCUCUAAACAGUCCCACAACUAUAAAUAUGAGCUCCUCUCGAUAUCUCAAAAUCUUUUGAUAUCUUAUUCAGUUGAAACGAUUCAUAUAUCUUACACCAAAUAUAAAAUGGAGUAGAGUGGGCUUCCAUUGUGUGCCAUAGGCGAAAAUUCUUUUUUUUUUUUAUCUUAUUCUUUGGUCAGACUGGUAUCCCACAAACAUUUCUUUUAAGCAUCGUUCUUUUGCCAUAUUUAGUUGUGAGAUGUCCAUUUAUCUCUUGAUUUUGCUAUGAAAUCUAUCAUAUAUCUCAACAUGUAUUUAAAUUCUAUCUCUGAUGUAUCUAUCAUGUAUAUGUCAUAUAUAUUUGUUAUGUAUCAUAUAUAUAUAUGUAUUUGAGUUGUACAUGGUGUAUCUGAUAUCCAUCUGGAUACAUAUGUAUGUAUUUACUCUUUCACUAUGUAUGUGAUAUAUAUGCAACAUGUAUCUACUCACAAGCAAUUUUCAAUAAUAUUUGUCGACGAUAAGAAUAUUUUAGAAUCAAAAAAUCAACAAAUAGUAUAUACCAAAUUUAAUAGCUUAGAGAUAUUUUAAAUAUUUUCGAUAUAAUAUAUAAUAUAACAUGAUAUAAAAAAUUAGAUCAGAAAAUUUUGAAGUUGGAUUGAUUCACUUCGAAUUGCGGACCCUUCAUUGCACUAGAAUAUUUCGUGAUCCAGGCCGUGUAUUCUUUGUCUACUCAAGGAAAAUGUAUCAUAAUAUUUAUUAAUUUAUAAAAUUAAUUUUUUUAAUCACUUUAAAACUAUAAGUAAAUUAUAUUGAAAAAAAUAAUUAAGGAUAAAUUAGUUUUUCUUUUAAAAAAAGGAAAAUUAUAUGAUUUUCUAAAAAAAUGCGUAAAAGAGAAAUAUGAUAACUAAUAUGAGACGGAAAGAUUAACACGUGAUAAAUUAGGUGAUUUUUUCCUCAUUCAUUCGUGUUCAUACAAUCAAAUCAGCAUUCAUACUCCACUAUACUAAAUACCAUUAGUAUUUCCCUAAAACAAUAAUGUAAAUACAACAUUCAGUACAUUAAUCAAAAGCUAAUUAAACACGCCAAAUUAAAGCUUAAUUAAUAUCCCUCCUUUGUUUUCUCAAUUUAUUGCCAUGAUAAAAUGGAAAUUGAACUUUCACACAUUUAUUGUGCCUUCAACUAUGACAAUGCGGCAGUAUCAGUCAAAUGUCCUGUUUAAUAUC